rnacentral:lncRNA from 1 species
UUUUUUUUUUUUUUUGUGUUGUAGUAGCUAUAUUAGUAAACCUUUUUGCCACGAGCUAUAUAGUUGUAGCAAAUAAUCUUAUUGUUUUGCCGCGAAAAAUAAACUCUGUAGCAAUCUUUAUACUAUAGACACAAGUUGUUCUACAAUGGAAAAAGGUUUAAUUUCUUUGCCACGAAAAUUUAAUUUUUGUAGCUAUUUUUAUAGUUUAGUCUUGUGGCAAUAGUACUUAUAUUUAGCUGCGAGUAAAAUUUUUUUAUAGCUAUGAAUCUACUCUUUUGCCAUGAAAUACAUAAAUCUAUAGCUAAAAAAUUUCAUUUCCUAUAAAAAGUAAAAAUGUAUAGCCAUAUUAUUGUUACGUAGCAAUUAUAUAUAUGUUUAUUUAGCUACACAUUCAACAAUUCCAUUGCUAUAAAUUAAAAAAUUUGCCACAAAAAUUGUUAGCCACAAGAAAUUUUAAGCUAAAUAUCCAAAUCUUUCAGAUCCCAAAAUAGGUUCCAAGUUUUUACAUAAUUGUAUAUUCAAAAUUUCGAAACAUUUACAAUAUGUAAUCCUCUAGGAAUCUGAUCAUGUUAGCAAUAUUUUACCCGAGGCCGCACAGUCUUCUCCUUUUUCUCUUGCCACUACUCGAACUGCACCUUGAUUUGAUCAAUAUCGGUCUUAGCUUGUCAUUGCUACUCUCUUGAUUCCUCAAAUUUGCCUGCAAUUUUGAUAAAGCAAAUUAACACUAGAAAACAAAAAUAACUGAUCAUAUAUAAACUUUUUAAUAGGUCCAGAAUGGUCAAUUAUUUCUAGAGAAGUAUUAUAGAUUACCUUCUCACAAAAAGAAAAUCCAUAUGUCUCUCUAAUCACUUAAUUAUUACAAAUUCAAUAAUAUCUCCUUAACAUGCUUAUAUGACCAAUUUAUGAGAUAAUGAAACUCUCAGUAAUUUUAACAAGGAUAGUAAAACUCCAAAUAUUUUACAAUACAACUCAAUCUCUUGCCCUAGAUUUUUUUAUUUUUUUUUAACAAAGCCUUAAUCAAGGAACAAACAUGUAGUUCUACAUUAUCCUUUCAUGGAAAAAUUAUAGGAAAGAAACCUAUAGAUAUAUUAACAUAAACUACGACAUACCUAGGAAAUAGCAAGAGAGUUCAUUCGCACCAAUAAAAUGGGAAUAUCGGUAAAAAAAUCCAUAAUUGCCUGUGACUACACAAGAAAAGGAUCAAAAUUAAUUUCUUCAAAAAUUAUUAAUAAGCAUCCCCUUAAUCAUAUUUCAGAAGCUUCAACAGUAAACAGAUAAAUUAGUACUGAUAUACCAAUCUAAUAAUAAUGAACAUAAAGAUUAAAACUUUUCUCUUCCCAAUUUUUUCUUUUCCCAAUUAACUAAGAAGAAGAAUAAAUAUACUUUUAUCAAAUCCAGCAUAAGUUACAAAUGAAGUCUGACGUGCACAUUGAAAAUUGAAAAUAAUAAAGAGGAAGAAAUAAAGUAACCAAAGAAAUAUUGUCAUAUAUGUAGAUAUAUAUUAGUGAUAAAAAGUUGAGAUUCAAAGAAGAUAGAAACAUACUAGUGGUUGAAGAAGGUGUUGGGGAAGUGGGUGAGGGUGUGACGGCUGGAGAGGUUAAAAAAUAAUAAGGGGCUAGGUUUUGGGAUCUCAUUCUUGUUUUAUAACCAUAUUCUUUAAUUUUUUAAUUUUUUGUAACGAUUCGACCGGUCGUUUUGAGCUCUAGCGUGUCGUUCAGCAGUUUGAAGCCACGAGCAGUUUCACUUCAGGUAUUAUGACUUGUGCGCCCGGUCGGAAUUGAAUUUCGGGAAGUUCGGAGUUGAUUUGGAAAAAGAAUUCUCAUUUCGGAAGCUUUAAGUUGAAAGAAUUGACUAAGGUUGGAUUUUUAAGUAAACGACCUCGGAAUCGGGAUUCGAAGGUUCCAACAGGUUCGUAUGAUGAUUUCAAACUUGAGCAUAUGUCCGGACUGGGUUUUGGAAGAUUCGGGAACGUUUCGGCGCCUAUUGUGGAAGUUAGCAUUUUUGGAAGAAUCUCAUAAGUUUGGAUUGAAGUGCAUUUCAGGGUUAUCUAUGUCCGUAGAUUCCAAGUCUGGGAAUAGCUCUGUAUGGUGAUUCUGGUAUUGGGAGCGCGAUCGGAAGUGAAUUCGGAGGUCUGUAGGUCAUUUUGGAGUCAUUUGGCUAAAUAUAGAAAUUUGAUGGUUUUUGAGAAGUUUGACCGGAAGUGGACUUUUUGAUAUCGGGGUCGGAUUUCGAUUCUGGAAGUUGAAGUAGGUCCGUAAUGUCGGAUAUGGCUUGUGUGCAAAAUUUGAGGUCAAUCGGACGUGAUUUGCUAGGUUUAAAUAUCGAAAGUAGAAGUUUGAAGUUUUAAAGUUCAUAAAGCUUGGAUUGGAGGUCGAUUCGUGAUUUUAGCGUUGUUUGAUAUGAUUUGAGGCCUCGAGCAAGUCCGUAAUGUGUUUUGGGACUCGUUGGUAUGAUUGGUUGGGGUCCCGGGGGCCUCGGGUGGAUUCCGGUGGUUAAUGGAUCGAAAUUAGAAUUUUGGAGAAGGCUGAAGUUGCUCGUUGCUGGUGUAACCACACCUGCGAGGCUAGGGCCGCAGGAGGGGUCGUCGUGCCGCAGAAGCGGUUAGAAGUGAAGGGCUUAGAGGCCGCAGGUGCGAAGGAAAUCCCGCACCUGCGAGAUCGCAGAUGCAGCCGGUGAGGCGCAUAAGCGGGCUGGGGCAGUAGGAGGAGGACCACAGAAGCGGUAUUGUAACCGCAACUGCGGAACCGCAGAAGCAGUCAAGUGACCGUAGGUGUGGAAAGGACUGGAGGCAGUGAGUGUUUUAAAAAUCGGGAUUUGGCCAUUUUCUCUCAUAUUUUCUUGGCUUGGGGCGAUUCUUGGAGGGUUUCAAGAGGGAAUUUUCAUCAUCGACGACAAGGUAAGUUAACCCCACCUAUCUUGAGUUAAAUAUAUUGAUUGUGUAUGGAUUUGAGCAUGUAAAUUGGUAGAAAUUUGGAGGCUUGAAAAAACCUUGAAAAUUCGUGUUCUUGGGUUUUGACCACGAUUUUGGGAAUGAAAUUAAGAGAAAAUCAUAUAUUUGAGUUCAUGAGUUCAUGGGUAAACUUUAUCUUCGAAAAAUUUCGGAAUUCAGGCACGUGGGCCCGAGGGCAAUUUUGUCAACUUUUCGAUCAGGGUUAGGAAUUGUUAUAAAUUGGAUUGUCAUAAGUAAUUGAGCAUCUAUUAAUGGAUUUGCAUAAUUAUUGGCUGGUUUUGGAGCAUUUAGCAUCGAUUCAAGCUUUCGGAAGAGCGUAGAAUGUCGGUUAUGGAUCUUCAGAGCGAGGUGAGUCUCUUUUCUAACCUUGCAAGAGGGAAUUGUCCCCAUAGGUGAGUUAAUUGGUUAUGUGCUCCUAUUUGUGGGGGCUACAUACGCACGAGGUGACGAGGGUUCGUGCGCAGCUACUAUUAUGCUAUUGUCCGGGUAGUCUAGGACCCAAAAGCAUGUUGUACUUGGAAAUAUUUGUAAUCUUAUUGACGGUUUGAAUUGCUUAAAUUCUAUCGAAUUGGUAAAUGAUUUUCUAAAAGGAUUAAACUUCAUUUUUCUUAAAUCGUUAAAAAGGGAGAAUUUGGAUUUUCCUUGGAUAAUUGUUCCCUAAUGAAGUCCUGUUUAACUGUUUGAAUAUGUGAUUCUAUGUAUACUUGUGUCGCAUGUAUGAUUCGUGAGCAGGGUGUUUGUUUAUUUGAUGUUGACCGCGUCGCAUGGAUGCUUCGCGAGCAGGGUAAUAGAUGCAUCUAUGGUUCGCAUCGUUCGACCCUCGGCAGUGCACAUUUUACAUUUAUGUUGGAUCGGGUCGUACGACCUCGGCAUGAUAUGCGCAUGUUUGUAUUGUUGCUUGAGAUUUAUAAAUGUUGACAUUUGCCUUACCUAGCCGGAGAUAAAUUGAUAAAGAUAAUGAAAAGUAAAUCUUUGGAAAUCCAUUAUUAUUUGGGAAGUUAUUUACCUGCUAUCUGGCUUUAUGAAUUAUAAUUGUUGUUUUAAUAAAAGUCCCUGAUCUCCUCACAUUUUUACUAUAUUAUCAUUGGACCACUAGUAAGUGUCGAAGUCGACCUCUCGUCUCUACUUCUUCGAGAUUAGACGGGAUACUCAUUGGGUACACGUUGUUUUCGUACUCAUACUACACUUGCUGUGCAUUUUUAUUGCACAGGUUCAUAUGUAGCUAGUGGCUUAGUGGCAUAGCGACAUGGUUGAUUCAGAGACUUAGGUGAGUUGCAUUUAUCGAGACGUCCGUAGCCAGCAAAAUCUCCUUCAGAGUAUUGUACGGUAUCCUCAUUUCUGCCCACUUAUAUUCCGGACAGUUACUGUAUUUUAUUUCUUUCCCUAGUAAUUGCCCAUGUACUUGUGACACCGGGUUCUGGGAUGACCACGGAAUUUUUCAGUAGUUAAAUUUUGUAAAGACAUCCUCAUUUAUCGAGCAGAGUUUAUUAUUUAUUAUUUAUUAUUUAUUUGCUUAAAGAAAAUAAUUUCAAAAUAAUUAAGAAUGAGAAAUUGCUAGUAAAUGGUAGUUGGCUUGUCUGAUAGGGGUGUCUGGCUCCAUCACGACCCUUAGUGGAUUUUGGGUCGUGACAACAUGGUAUCAGAGCACUAAGUUCCCUUAGGAUUCACGAGUCAUGAGCGAGUCUAGUAGAGUCUUGCGGAUCGGUACGGAGAUGUCUGUACUUAUCUUCGAGAGGCUACAAGGCUGUUAGAAUCACUUCCCUUCUUGAUUCCUCAUCGUACGAUUUGAUUCCUUGAGGCUUUUGCCCUUGUUUCCUUCCUACUCAACCUUACGCGAUGCGAAUCGCUUGUUAUAAAUCGGGAAUUGAAGAAUUGUAAUGUUACUACAGAUGUGGUGCGGGAUGUUUCUCCCGGUAUAGUUGGUUGGGCUAUUGUCGUCGCCUUGCAAAAGGAUUUUUCUAUCGUUUCAGCUCGGUAGUUGUACUUCUAAGAGCUUGGAGGCUAUGCACAGGUUGCUAUGGUGCUCACGAGUGGUUGUCACACAAUAUUGACUUGAUGGUAGGAUACUUGCCUAUGUGUUGGGGCGGUGAAUGAUUUGAAAGGAAGUCUACUCAGUGCACGAUUUAGAGGUCUGAUAUUUCAUUUCCGGCGGAGGAAAAACGAUUGGCCUAUGGAUGUCCAGAUUUGGGGUGAUGGAGUAACGAGACUUGGUAUUUUCGAGCGUGGUGAAAUUUUCAUCUGCGACGUAGUAUCGUCGUCCUCGAUGGUAUGUGUUUGUCACACCCUUUUUUUUUACAAACUUCACUAAACCCUCUCAAAAAUAUAAAAAGAUUUGUAAAGCUCAAAAAAGGUUUUCAAUCAGAAAGUGACAAAGAUGGUGUUCAAAAGGAUUAACUCAGAGUCGCCACCUGACAUUGGUUUCGGUGUGCCAGGUCACCGUUUUAUAAAAAUAAUUUUUCCUUUUUAAACACUUUGGACUCCAAAACUAAGUUUGCGCCAGAGAUUCAGGUAAGAGGGUUCAUUUGACUCGGGGAGAAGGUGUUAGGCACUCCCCAAGUCCCGUAACUAGUAUGGUUGCAUACUUGAUCUAGUUGGCUUUUAAAAUAUUUAAAUUGAGGUAAAAAAAAACAAACAAUAGGAAAAUAAAUAUCAAAAGAGGUUCGAGGUCGUCCCCACCUAAUAAAAGAAAAUAAAAUAAAAAGUGAAAUCCUAUGCUAGCCUAUACUAUUCCACGGUACUCGUCGAGGCCUCCAAAAUAUUUACAAAGUUCUUCGGGGCAUUCCCAGGAAUGAAAUAUCUACAAAUCCUUCGGGGCAUUCCCUGGAUAAAUUUAACUAAAGGAGACGACCUCUCACCUCAAAAGAAACUAAAGCACGAACGUCCUAAAGGCUUGCCUAUCCAAGUGUGGUCGGCCUAGGUAUGCUCCUAGCGGACAAUGUAAUAGAAGCAAAUUAAAUAAAACUAAAGAAAUAAAAACUAAUUUCAUGCUCAUUCCCUUUUUAACUUUUCAUUUUUAUUAGACUAAGCCCGAUACCUAAAAUAUGGAGACAAAUCCUUAAAUCAAUUCAAUGCAACUAAAUGAAACCAAUCACUGAAAGUACUAGACCAAAUGACUAUAUUGAUGAUAGCACAUAAGAGAUGAAAAAUUACCAUCUGAACACUUAGCAUCAACAGAAACAAGACCUAAAAAAUCAGAAACUAAACUUGAACCUAUAAACUUUAAUGGGAUCUAAGAAAAAUGAAAAUAAAUUAUCCAAAAUAUUUUAAUAAGUGAUAGUUCUAAACGAGGAAAAUAACAUGUCCAAUGAACACUUUAUGAUGAAACAUAAUUUGAAAACUGACAAACCAAGCCUAACAUGCAUUAUCUAAGAUAUUUUAAAAUGAUCCUUUAGAUAAAAAAAUAUGUGUUGUUAACUACUUGAUUAUGACUUCUAGAAAAUCACUACAACUUACUAAAAGUUGAUACAGUAAAACAUUUAAGACUUGAAGACGAGUGACUAUGCGACUUUAAACCAGGCAACGAGAUUUAGAGGAGAAAACCGGAAUCCACAACUUAAUAGAAUCUAAAGGAAUCUACAUAGUUUUCUCAUGGCAAUUCCAGCAAUUUUAAACAAAGAUGUUUUAAGAAAAGCAGUAUGAUAAACCAAGAAAUUUCGAGAAAAAGCAAUAGGCCUAUAUCACAAUAUUCAUCACAACGUAUUGCAGAAAAUCACAAGUAAUAGAGAAAUAUAGAAGAAGUGAACCUGAAAUUAGAAAAAUCAGCAACUACGCAGAGUUUGACUCCAAAAUUCAAGUGAGGAAACAAUGACAAGAGCCCGAACGAAAACCGCGAACAACGACUCCAAAAAUUCGAACACCCACUCGGCUCUUUUCCGUCCGAUUUUUUUCCAUAUGUUUUGUUUGUAUUAAGAAAAGGAUGCUUAGUUGCGUACAUGAAUGAGGAUAUUUUGGAGCAUGGGCAGUUUGUUCACGCCUCUAUUUCUUCAUUUAUGUCAGUCGAACCAAGUAGGAGUAUUAAUUACUGCUGGAUUAGAUCUAUAUGUAAUGGUGCAUUGUCAACUUAGGGAGAUUUUCUUUUCAUAUGAAAAAUUAGAACCUCCAAACUCAUACAAAGAUAAAUAUUGCCAAGAAAAUAGCAACGAUCAGAGUUGGAUAGAGCGUGGCUGAUUUCCUAGUUGAAAACAGUGAUGGUACGCAUCUGAAGAACCAGAAAUGAGGGGGUACGGCCGAUUUGCUUCUCCUCUUGUCCAAGUGAAAGAGAUCAAUUAAAUGGGAGGAUAUGUUAGGUCUUAGGGUUAGGCUAGUGGGUCAAUUGGGCCAAGAAGAUUGGGUUUGGUGAAUUGGGUUAUAAAUUUGGCUUUUAAUUCUAUAAUUCUUGCAAUUUGGCUAAAAAUAUUAAUUUUUUUUCUAAAAUAAUACCAUAAAAAUGUAAAAUUAAUCCUAAUUAACUAAAAUAACUAUAUUAUGACAUGAAACUAUUUUUGAUAUUUUCAAAGAUUUUAUUAAAAUAAAAUAAAAAUAGGUUCAAAGUAAUAUAUCCUUCUAAAAAUAUCUAAUACGUGAAUUAAAUAGAGAAAUAUGAAACUAUUUUUUGUAUUUUUAAAUUUUGUGAUAAAAAUAAUGUAAAAGAGUCAAAAUUAGUUGAAAUAACUAUAUUAGACCUAAACUAAGUAUUUAAAUGAUAAAAUAUGUAAAAUCUUGGGGAGGGUCAAAAAUUACAUGUCUACAGCUGCCCCUCUUUGACUAGAAAUACAAAGUAUUUUUAGACAAAGAACAACUAGACAGGUUUUUUGACCCGACCCUUAUUUAGAAAGACCAAAAACAAAGAAAAAAGAGGAGAAUGUGACCGAGCCCUGGUAUUUGAGCUGCCUACAUAUCCUUGGCUAUAAAGGAAUCAGGCCACGUGUAGUUCAGAAGUAGGAACAGUGAUGGAGUUUACCGAGUGGAGAGCCGAUUGAGGUGCCGUCGAGGUUCCGGUCCGCGGUUCAUGUUAUUACAUCAAAAUUAAAAAAUGAAAAGACUAACUAAGCAUGUCAGCUAUGAGUUACAAAAUUCCUAUCUUUAAGUCUUCUGAAACUUGAUCUUUAGUCUUGAAUGGUUCUUCAUACAAACUUUAGAUUUGAACCUUGACGCUCGCUAAUUGCAGGUGUUAGUUCAUUCUUUUUCAGCUUUUGGAUCACAACGGGACAUGCAAUGCUCGUAACUUCAUCCACGUAUUGAGCAGUUCACAACUUUCAUCUGUUUCUGCAUUUGGAUUUACUUCUUCUUCUUCUUUUUUCUUUUUUUUUUCAUUCUGGUUUGGGACUUCUUCUUUUGGUUUUCUUAGACUAUUGACUUGCAUUCUUGUCGUGAGCUUCUGCUACUUCUAACUUGAAUUGGAUUCUGAAAUGACUUCCCUUGUUCUCCAAGUGGGCGCCUGAUUACCAAAAUUUUAACUGUAUUCUCUUGUUCCACGGGUGGGCGCCUGAUUGCCAAAAACUUGAAAUAAUUCCAAAAACGAAUUCCCUCGUCCUCCAGGUGGGUGCCUACAAUCAAAACAACAAGACAAACAAAAUUUUCUGCCCCAGUUUGCACUAGGAAGAUUUGUGAGUUAUUAGCAAAACUAUAAAUCACCUAUGUUAUUGAUGCAAUGAUGAGAGUAAAACUAAAAACUCGACUUGGAUGUGCGUCUCCUGUAAAUCAAACCAAGAAUAUUUGACUAGCAAGUGCGUCUGUUAAGAAUAGAACCUCAAUGACCUAGACUAGGAAGUGCGUCUCGUAGAUUUAAGAUUGAUCUUGAGAAGAACUAUAAACUAAGCUUGACUAAAGUAAAAACUGACCAUAUUCUCCAGGCGGGACCCCUGAUUUCAAGAAAACUAAAGAUUAAUAACUUAAGAAAACUAAAGAUUGAUCCUAAAAGAAAGCUCAUCAGACUAGGUCCCUUUUAUUAUCUUAGGAGAAAGAUUCAUCCGACUAAGAUUUCUAUCCUAGGAGAAAAUUCAUCAGACUAGGUCUUCUAUCUUAGGAGAAAAAUUCAUCAGAAUAAGAUUUGAUCCUAGGAGAAAGUUCAUCAGACUAGGUCUUCUAUCUUAGGAGAAAGAUUCAUCAGACUAAGAUUUUGAUCCUAGGAGAAAGUUCAUCAGACUAGGUCCCUUUUUGUUGUCUUAAGAGAAAGAUUAAUCAGACUAAGAUUUUGAUAUCUUAGGAUAAAGAUUCAUCAGACUAAGAUUUUGAUCCUAGGAAAAAGUUCAUCAGACUAGGUCUUCUAUCUUAGGAGAAAGAUUCAUCAGACUAAAAUUUGAUCCUAGGAGAAAGUUCAUCAGACUAGGUCCCUUUUGUAUCUUAGGAGAAAGAUUCAUCAGACUAAGAUUUUGAAGAAAAAUCCAUCAGACUAGGACUUUUAUCCUAGGAGGAAAAAUAUGAAGAGCAGUGGCAAUAUUUUAUGCAUACUAGCAAGACAGAUAAAGACAAAGAUUUGAGAAACUUCCCUUUGUCGGCUCUUCUCUUCCUUUUUUCUUUUUCUUUCUUUUCUUUUCUCUUUUUCUUGUUUUUGAACCAUUUGCUUGCACUGCUUUGUUCCUGUUCAAAUAAAGAAAACUUGCGAGUUUAAAAUGUGGUGGUUAGUUUGUGGCCUUGACCUUGAAGGCGGCUGCUUCUGCACUUGCCAAGAUAACUUUGAUUUCAACUUAGAAGACCUUACCUGUUAUUAACUAACCAUUUUCUUUCAAACCCUAUCACAGAAAACACCUCCGCUCCAUCCAAUCCCAAUAUCCUCUAUCUGUUGCAUUUUACUCAUGAAUUGAAUUACCGAACCUUUGCAUUUCACAUGAAUCCUAAAGCAUGUUGAUUGUUACCAACUCAAUGCGCAUACCGCUUUUCCCUGACUUAUGCCACUUUGAUGUGCUAGCCAAAUUCAUUUUGUGCAAUUGAAAAGUUGGUAGCAAAUCUUAAAGUCAUUUCUCACUUGUUCUGACCUAAAGACUCAAGAGGGACUCAAACAAAAUAAGAGGAACAAAAUAAUGGACAAGGGAAAGAGAUGAUACCUAACAAGAAAAUUACAAAGUAGAAACUUAUCAGAUAUGGAUACCAACUCUAAUGACCAUGACAUGCACCUUUGGAUUAAGUAGCCUAGUCUCUCAAGCAAGUCUAAUAUUCAACUCUUGUUGUACCUCUUCGCUGUGAAACUGGGCUUCAGCUCUUCAAUUGUCCUAUUUGAUCCACAAUCCUCAGUCGACUUGUAGUGCCCUGAAGGGUUUUCACCAUCAAGCCCCUCUCAUUUUGAUUUUUUUUCUCAACUCACUGUCGCCUUACGGUGCCCAUGAGGGUUUUCACCUACAAGACUCUCUCAUUUAUCAUUUUUCUCUCUUUCCGAUAAGAAAAAAGUAUUACCCAUGAUGUAGGAAGAUCAUACUUUUGCCACACACUUGAUUCGACAUCCUCAAAGAUUGGUUGGAAGGUCUUUAUUUGGACCGUAAUGUAGGCUUUUGGACAGGGUUAUCAUAAAGGCUCAAAAUAACUAAGAUUAAAGGGUUCAAAAUUACAACUUUUGGAAUAAGAUCUUUUGGCAAAACUAAAACUUCUACCCCAGUUUCUUGGAGUUUGGGGAAUUUUUUUGGAUUUUUGCUUUGAUGGGAUUUCUAAGAAAACUGCCCCACUCUUGACUUCGGGGAUCAUGAAAUAUUUUAUUUGGUGUGACCGAACCGUAAGGCUGCCUACGUAUCUUGUGGUGACAAGAAUCAGGUCAAACGUAGUUCAAACACAAAGUUGGUUUUAUUUCUUUUCCUUUUCUUUCUUUUUUUUUUGCUCUUUUUUUCUUCUUCUUUUUCUCUUUUCUUUUUUCUUUUCUAGUUCCCAACUCUACUUCUGAUUCCAAAAGAGGUGUAUGGAACAAAGCAAAUUAAGGCUCAAAAGAGGUGUAGCAAAAGAUAAAAGUGUUUGGAUAACAGAAUAAAAUGUCUUUGUUAUACCAAACUUUAAAAAUGCCAAGUACAAACAUGCAAUUGAAGAUAAACAAAGAAAUCAUACACAAUAUCUAUUGACGACAUCAACAUAAACAAAAAGUGCCAAUGGGCAAUACCUUUGUCUCAAUGAAUGACUCUUGCCAGUUCGGAGCAAACUUGAUUCAACCUUAUCUUGAUAUGGAAGAAUGCAUUUCAACACUGACUGAUUUACCUCAAACUGCUUGAGAGGCAUUUCCUUGUUGUAUGCUCUUAUCAACCUCUUGAUUUCCCAGACUAAUUGCCUCAGUUUCACUCAAUUCAAUCUUCAGGUUAUCUCAGGAUGCAUGAAUCUUUACUUGUUUCCUCAAAUGCCUCAUUUUAUCAUAUUCAAAACUGUGUCAUUGCUUCAUGAUUAGACUAACUUUCAAGACCAGGCUGAGAUUAUGUGUGCAUGUUAUGUCACUAGAGUCAGCAUGAAAAGAACUAUAAGAGGAAAAAUCACCUAAACAAAACUGACUAGAACUAACAGAAAACAUGAGAUUGCAUUAGACAGAUGGUGAAAAGGGUUUGAACAAAACAAGCAAAAUAGACAUGGGUUACAACCCUGGAACAAUCCUAAAUAACACUUAACGAGUUAGUACAACUAAACGAACUAGACAAAAUGAGAAGAAGAAGAGUUUGAGCCACAAGACAAUAUCCGAAUUACAACCUUGAAAUAACCCGGACAAACAUAAAUGACAAUAAAAUAAACCACCAAAACUCCUCCUUGGCUAGCCAAGAAAGGAGUGUCUUUUUAAUCACCAAGCUCGACAUCUUAGCCACUAGAUUGCACAUCAAAAUUGUUGGGACCUUCACCAAUUUCAAUAUCGUUAACUUCAGUGAGCAUGUCACCAAAGUGUGCAUCAUCAUGUGUAGGUAAAGGAUUCUGUGUGAUAUUCUGGGUGUCAUUAUCCUGGACCACAAUUAUCCCUUCUUGAAUCAUUCUUUCUAUCUCUCUUUUCAAAUCCCGACAACUUUCGACAUUGUGCCCCUGAGCAUUGGAAUGAUAUUCACACCUUUUAGAAUAGUCAAAGAUUCUUGCACACGGGUCCACAUGAUUCGGAGGAAUAGGUGCAAUCAGGUCAUAAUAUUUUAAUUUUGCAAACAAGCUUGCAUAGGACUCUCCUAUCGGUGUAAAAUUAUCCUUCAACCUUUGUUUACCUCUAUACCCCUGGCUUGGAUGUGGGUUGUUGGGUGCCCGAAAAAGUUGUGAAGGCGAAGGAGUAUUAUGCGGUGCUGGUGCUCGCCAUAAGGAGUGACCCGGUGGUUAGACAGAUGACCGGGCAUUGUUAGGAGGAUAGUACUGAGGUGGAUUAUGUGGAACUCGGGGGUAGGUUUGGGGUUGGGGUCAAGGUUGAGUAUAUUGGUAAGGCGGACCCGUUGGGACAUGUCGCGAUCCUGAUACAACCAUGGUAACAUCAUCACGUUUCUUCUGACCCGACAAGCUUCCUGUAUCGUUUUGAAUUGCUUGUGUUGUGGCUUUUAAGGUAGAAUAGCUCACGAUUUUGCUUGACCUCAGUCCUUCUUCCACCAUUUCUCCCAUCUUUACCACAUCAUUGAAAGGCUUACCAAUGGCUGAGAUCAAAUGGCCGAAGUAUGUAGGCUCCAGGGCUUGAAGAAAGUACUCGACUAUUUCAUCUUCUACCAUCAGAGGAUUGACCCGUGCAGCUUGCUUUCUCCAUCGGAAACCAUAUUCUCUAAAGCUUUCACUGGGCUUCUUUUCUACCUUGGUCAGGGACAGGCGAUCCGAGGCAAUGUCUAUGUUGUACUGAAAAUGCCAAGCAAAGGCCUGAGCCAAAUCGUCCCAUGUGUACCACCUGCUGGCGUCCUGGAGAGUGUGCCAUUCUAACGCUGCCCAACUCAGACUUUGGCUGAAGUAUGCCAUCAAUAAUUCGUCUUUUCCCCUGGCGCCUCUCAUUUUACUGCAGUAACCUCUCAGAUGAGCUACAGGAUCCCUAUGUGCAUCAUACAAGUCAAACAUGGGCAUCUUGAACCCCGCAGGCAGUUGAACAUUAGGGAACACACACAAAUCCUUAUAAGCCACACUCAAAUGGCUUCCCAACCCUUGCAUAUUUCUCAAUAAUUGCUCCAGACUUUUUACCUUCCUAAAUAUCUCCUCUUGCUCCACGUUCUUGGGUGGUUUCUCAUUUUCAACAUGAGGCUCAAAGUGGGGAGUGUAUAAGUAAGGAUCUGGGACUUUGAAGGUGGGUUCCGGGGCAUAGUAUUGGGUAUCUGGAGAUGGGAAUGCUGUUGUUUUGGCUGGUGGAGCAUGGAAAGUUUGGGAGGAAGUGCCAGGGUAAUUGUGGUAAGGGGUAAAGCCCGGUGCAUGUUGAGGAGAAAGGUCAACGGUAAUGGGAACCUGGGCUUGUGACAGUGGUGAGAUAGUUGUAAGGUUUUCAGUGUAGUUAGUGGGGAAUGAAGGUGGAGGAUGCCCCCUGAUCCAAGACUGAUACAUUUUUACCAUAUGUUGUUUCAAUCUUUGGACCUCCUCUUUCAAUUCAUACUCCGACUCCACAAACUCCCUCGAGGGGUCAACAACUCCUGUGUUCAAGUCUUUGCUAUCCAUGUCUACCUUGUUCUUUGACCUUGUGUUGUACAGAUGACUCGCCAAAGUGCCACAAACUAACCCCCCUCUGUUAUGAUCACAAUGAAAGUAACAAAAAGGAGUAAAACAAAACCAACAUGUUAGCGUUAGGACAUUUAUCAGAUAGAAAUAUCACAUUGCAUGUAAUGCCCCUAGCAAAAAUUAAUGGUUCUAGAAUGACUUCGAGGGUCACAAGAUCAUUUGAUAUCAUCCCAAUUUUUUUCAUUUCAACCUUCUUCUUUUUUUCCUUUUCUAGCACUUCUUGGCUUGCUCAUUUUCCUUCCUCUCUUUUUCUUUUUAAUUGUCACCCUUUUCUUUCCUCUCAUUUCUCACAUCCACAAUUUCAUCUCUUUUUUUUUCUUUUUUUUUCUUUUUUUUGUUUUUUUAAAGAUACUUCGAUCGAACCCUAUGUAGGUUGCCUACGUAUCAUGUCCCUCAUGAAUCAGAUCAAGCGUAGUUCUGGAAAAGUGAUGGAUAAAAUAAACUAAAAUAAAUCUUUUUGAAUUUUCCAUUUAUAACUUUUUUUUUGCUUUUCAAAUACAAAACAGGAAGUACUAUAACAAAAGACUCGAAAAUCUUAACUAGACCGACAGACUAGAUACUACUAUACAAGACAACAUAAAAUAGACUAAAAAUAAAAAGUUUCCUCAAGUAGCUCGUGCAUGCAAUGGUCUUGACUAGAAUGGUCCUGAAGUAUUUGUCAUGCUCAAACUCUAGCAAAUUGAUCCGUACUUGAAUGGAAAAAAUAAGAUCAAAUGGAGUUAGUGACUCAAGACACAUGUGAUGCUACGUUACCUUCUAUUGGACACAUGUAAGGUAUGAUUAAGGCUAUUUAUGCAAAAUGACCUAUGUGGCCUAGAUGACUAGAAAUGUAAACUCAACAAAGGUGACCUCAAAGACAUAGAAAUACCUCACUAAGGCAUAUAUGUAUUCAACUCCCAAUAAUCAUGGCCCAAAAUUAAUUUGCAAAAAUGACCCAUUUUGCAAAAACGACCGAUAUGGCCAGAAGUGGCCAAAGAUGCAAACUCAAAAAGGACGGACCUUAAAGUAAUAUGACACCUAGUUGUGGACUCAAGAUCCUAAGACAUGGGUUAUUGAACCACUUUUGCGAAAAUGACCCCAUUUUGCAAGAAUGACCGAUGUGGCCAAAAAUGGCUAAACAUGCAAGAUAUGGCUAAGACUCCGCAAAGCCAAGAACCUAAGACUUACUAGGAAGACCGGACCCUAUGUGGGUUGCCUACGUAUCAUGUCCCGAAAGACGAGAAUCAGGUAUGCGUAGUUCGGGAAGAUUGGAUAUGGGAGAAAGCUUUAAAAAUGACACUAAUUUGAAAAAAAAAAUUUGUCUUUUUUAAAAAUGAUGGAAAAUGUAAAAUCUAUUUGGAUUUUCUUUUUCUCUUUUUUUGAUUUUUUAAAAAAUGAUGGGAAAGUGUAAAAUCUUUUUGGAUUUUUCAUUUUCAAUUUUUUUGGUCCUUUUUUUUUUGAAAAGGUUAUGAAAGAAAAAUACAACUAGGCCCUACUUGAUUCAUUUUUUACCCUACUUUCCCAAACAUCGGUCCGCCAAAUGACCUUUUUACCCUCAAAGAUGCAACAUGUAUCACAUAGGGAUGAUUGAAUAUUUUUUUGGGCCACGGGCCCAUUUUGACAAAAUUUGGAUAGGCUUCCUACAAAGGGACACGGUACUUGGGACCGAGCCCUGCUAGGUAUAAAUGACAUGAUGCAAAUAACAAUGACCUAAAGGCUGACCUACAUUUGGGGUUCACUAGACAAGGCAAUUCGGGGUGGCAUGUGGUCGAUGGUGGCUGCUCUAGCUGUACGCCCACUCCACGCUCCCACGCCACCCCCUAAACACACGGGUAACUCACAAAAAGGCCGUGUACGCUCAAACGUACUCCGAAAGACUUGUUGCAGAAAUAAGUCUCAUGGUUAUGCAAAUAAUGACAGUUUAUAAAGUAGUAACACAUAAAGGAAAAACUGUAAACAAAUAAGCAGCUAGCAAAAUAAUAAAAGGACAUAAACAAAAAUAAAAAUCAAAUAAAGCAAACAAAACACAUAAAAACCUCAACCUAAUAUCUUAAAAGCCAACAAGAUCAAGUAUUAGCUCGAACCUGCAACUCCCCAGCAGAGUCGUCAGAGCUGUCACACCUUUUUUUUUUUACAAACUUCACUAAAUCCUCUCAAAAAUAUAAAAAGAUUUAUAAAGCUCAAAAAAGGUUUUCAAUUAGAAAGUGAUAAAGAUGGUGUUCAAAAGGAUUAACUCAGAGUCGCCACCUGAUAUUGGUUUCGGUGUGCCAGGUCAUCGUUUUAUAAAAAUAAUUUUUCCUUUUUAAGUAUUUUGGACUCCAAAACUAAGUCUGCACCAGAGAUUCGGGUAAGAGGGUUCAUUUGACUCGGGAAGAAGGUGUUAGGUAUUCCCCAAGUCUCGUAACUAGUACGGUUGCAUAAUUGAUCUAGUUGGCUUUUAAAAUAUUCAAAUUGAGGUUAAAAAACACACAAUUGGAAAAUAAAUAUCAAAAGAGGUUCGAGGUCGUCCCCACCUAAUAAAAGCAAAAAAAUAAAAAGUAAAAUCCCAUACUAGCCUAUACUAUACUUCCUCCACGGUGCUCGUCGAGGCCUCCAAAAUAUUUACAAAGUUCUUCGGGGUAUUCCCCGGAAUGAAAUUUCUACAAAUCAUUCGGGGCAUUCCCCCGAUAAAUUAAACUAAAGGAGGCGACCUCUCACCUCAAAAGAAACUUAAGCACGAACGUCCUAAAGGCUUGCCUAUCCAAGUGUGGUCGGCCUAGGCAUGCUCCUAACGGACAAUGUAAUAGAAGCAAAAUAAAUAAAACUAAAGAAAUAAUAACUAAUUUCAUGCUUAUUCCCUUUUUAAACAUUUUUUAUUAGACCAAGCCCGAUACCUAAAAUAUAGAGACAAAUCCUUAAAUCAAUUCAAUGCAACUAAAUGAAACCAAUCACUGAAAGUACUAGACCAAAUGACUAUAUUGAUGAUAGCACAUAAGAGAUGAAAAAUUACCAUCUGAACACUUAGCAUCAACAGAAACAAGACCAAAAAAAUCAGAAACUAAACUUGAACCUAUAAAGUUUAAUGGGAUCUAAGAAAAAUGAAAAUAAAUUAUCCAAAAUAUUUUAAUAAGUGAUAAUUCUAAAUGGGGGUCAAUGAAAGAGGUUCUGAAUCAAGAAAUGACACUGAUCUGUUAAAACUCAUAAGGAAUUUUCAAGACGCCAAAUUUUCACGAAUUAAACAUACUAACUAAUUCACUAAGGAAAAAUAACGCAAUUUUGUAUUCUUUUCAAGUAUUUCCAUCGAACAUGUGACUAAAUUUAGAUAUAUAAAUGUCAAAUGACAUUAACGUCAAUAACUGUUGUUAGACAAGGAAAAUAACAUGUCCAAUGAACACUUUAUGAUGAAACAUAAUUUGAAAACUGACAAACCAAGCCUAACAUGCAUUAUCUAAGAUAUUUUAAAAUGAUUCUUUAGAUAAAAAAACUGUGUUGUUAACUACUAGAUUAUGACUUCUAGAAAAUCACUACAACUUACUAAAAUUUGAUACAAUAAAAUAUUUAAGACUUGAAGACGAGUGACUAUGCGGUUUUAAACUAGGCAACGAGAUUUAGAGGAGAAAACCGGAAUCCACAACUUAAUAGAAUCUAAAGGAAUCUAUAUAGUUUUCUCAUGGCAAUUCCAGCAAUUUUAAACAAAGAAGUUUUAAGAAAAGCAGUAUGAUAAACCAAGAAAUUUUGAGAAAAAGUAGUAGGCCUAUAUCAUAAUAUUCAUCACAACAUAUGGCACAAAAUCACAAGUAAUAGAGAAAUAUAGAAGAAGUGAACCUGAAAUGAGAAAAAUCAGCAACUACGCAGAGUUUGACUCCAAAAUUCAAGCGAGGACACAAUGAGAAGAGCCCGAAUGGAAAUCACGAACAACGACUCCAAAAAUUCGAACACCCACUCGGCUCUUUUCCGUCCGAUUUUUUUUCCUAUGUUUUGUUUGUAUUAAGAAAAUGAUGCUUAGUUGCGUACAUGAAUGAGGAUAUUUUGGAGCAUGGGCAGUUUGUCCUCUAGUUCUUCAUUUAUGUCGGUUGAACCAAGUAGGAGUAUUAGUUACUGCUAGAUUAGAUCUAUAUGCAAUGGUGCAUUGUCAACUCAGGGAGAUUUUCUUUUCAUAUGAAAAAUUAGAACCUCCAAACUCUUACAAAGAUAAAUAUUGCCAAGAAAAUAGCAACGACCGGAGUUGUAUAGAGCGUGUCUGAUUUUUUGGUUGAAAACAGUGAUGGUACGCAUCUGAAGAACCAGAAAGCAGGGGGUGCGGCCGAUUCGCUUCUCCUCUUGUCCAAGUGAAAGAGAUCAAUUAAAUGGGAGGAUAUGUUAGGUCUUAGGGUUAGGCUAGUGGGUCAAUUGGGCCAAGAUGAUUGGGCUUGGUGAAUUGGGUUAUAAAUUUGGCUUUUAAUUCAAUAAUUCUUGCAAUUUGGCUAAAAAUAUUAGUUUCUUUUUCUAAAAUAAUACUAUAAAAAUGUAAAAUUAAUCCUAAUUAACUAAAACAACUAUAUUAUGACAUGAAACUAUUUUUGAUGUUUUCAAAGAUUAUAUUAAAAUAAAAUAAAAAUAGGUUAAAAGUAAUAUAUCUUUCUAAAAAUAUCUAAUGCGUGAAUUAAAUAGAGAAAUAUGGAACUAUUUUUGUAUUUUUCAAUUUUGUGAUAAAAAUAAUGUAAAAGAGUCAAAUUUAGUUGAAAUAACUAUAUUAGACCUAAAUUAAGUAUUUAAUUCCUAAAAUAUGUAAAAUAUUGGGGAGGGUCAAAAAUCACAUGUCUAUAGUGUUAAGUUCACCGGUGUUACGGUCUUCUGCAAUUCGCCUUUGGGGUAAGAUAUUGUGAAAUAAUAUUGGAGAAACGACUGUUAGAUAUUGCGGGGUGUGGUGUUUCAGGAUUGGUGUUCCUAAUGUUGGCGGCUCGAGAAAGAUGAUCUUCGGAAAGAUUUAAAGUUAGUAGCAAUUUUUAGGUUCCAGUACUACGAAGAUCGAUUUUAUUUGAGGCAACAGCUGAGCAGUAAAGGAUGAGGAAGGACAUGUGGGGAGUGUCAAGCGGUGGUUAAAAUUUCUAGAAGGCCAGGUAUGAGAAGCAAAGGUCGAGUAGCCGAUUAAAGAGGUGAGUUCUGCUAAAGUGGGAGAGCGGCGGAGUUGCAUACGGGCUUUGUGGUAGGAUGACUACGUGCCUUAAGGUGAGUUUGGAAUGAUUUGGGAAUUUUAGUGAUUGGUGAUUGGGGUCUAUGGAUUUAAUUUGAAGUACGGACUACUAUACGGCAAGAGAUAUGAUAUAACGGAAAGGAGUUGCUUGAAAUGAAGAAGGAUACAACAUAACUUUGAAUUGGAAGGAUGUUGUAGCACAUUUAAUUGAUGCCCACGAGGGGUGAAUGAACUUGUGCAGCUAGAGAGUGAGCUCAGACUUAGGAUGGGUUAUUGAUGUCGUAGUGAUUGUACCCCGUGCAGCAGCGUUGGAAGACGUCAACACGUAAAUUCCAUAGAUGGGUUAUCUCCAGUGAGCAGCUCGGCGGUCGCAUGGAUUGGCGAAGCUUCUGCGAAGAAUUGUAUUGAUUAGAUAGUAAAGAGAUCGGUUGUGCGAAUGUGGUUAAUGAUUCAGAGUAUGAAAAAGGGGUUUUAUAGAAAGAUUUCGAGAAUUUUUGCGAUUGAUUGCGCAAGGUUAUGUCAAUAAGAGAUAAAAAAUCCUGGUGAAUUCCAAAGUUGUGUAAUAGUGGAUUCAAGCUAAGUGGGAGAGUCCCACCGCUUAGGAUUGGGUUGCAUGAUUAACUACUUGCGAAGCUUCUGGUUAUUAGCACAUUGAUGAGUUAUUUUAGCUACGGGAAAAGAACAUAAGUGGUAAUUUGAGUAAAUGAAUUGUUAAAGGUGUGUUAUGGUUGGCCUUAUUGUCUCAUGUUCAGACUUGGGGAAAGAUAUAGGAUUUAUGCCUUGUAUAGAUAUGGGGUUCAAGGAAAGUGAUUCUGUCGGGUGCUUCGUCGUGAGGGUAUUCAUGUGCUAGGAAAUUCGUGGAGUUGAUUAUAUUCGGGGCCAAGUCAGAGCAGUUGGCUCUCAUCAGUGGUCCUAGUGAAUUCAAAAGUUAAAGCGUGGUGACUAAUGAUUUCUUGCUUAUAGGUACUGUUAAGAAUCAAGCUUUGUAGCAGCUUAUGAGAGAGGCCCAGAAUGUUCUACGAUAUUUUGACUUGCAGUGUAGCAUUUGGGAAAUAUGAAAUGGUUCGUGGGAUUUGAGACAACAUGGUCUCGUGAUUUAAGGUCAUUCGGGAUGAGUGCGGAUGGAGUGUGUUAUGUGUUGAAUGGAGUUAUAUUUAUUUCUAAGGAAAUCAAGGAUAAAUUGGAAGAAUAUAGAUUGGUUAGCCAUAGUUUAAUUGGCAUAUUGGUUGUAGUGAUCAGUUCCUUCAGCGUGACCGAGUUAUGCAAGUGAUUCGUGAUGGUACGUGUGAGGCCGGUCGACCGCCGUAAUUGAUGUUAUUCAGAAGUAUUCUACUGUUAUGGCCUGUUAUGUGUAGGCGGAUCCCGGAAGGGAUAUGGUGGCUUAAACCACUACUUAGAGAUUUGCAUAUUCCACGGUUAUGAGAAUUCACCUAUGUGUUGCUAUGAUUCUCCUGAAGUGAGUUAAAUGAAAAGUUUUUAUAUGAUAAAGUGUUAGCCUAUUAGUGGUUCCGAAGUUAUGAUGAAAAACGUGUUCUAUCGUAUAUUGGCAUGUUGGGUGCAAUGAGUGGUAUAUAAUUUGAAGUGAGGAUCAAGGUUGCAGUUCAGUGUUGACAAGGAUGUCACGAGCUCGGAUGAGCAGGCAAGGAGUUUCGAUGAUUAAGGUAAGUUGAUAUUGUCUUCAGCGUCACCUGAGAUUGGUGUUUUGUGAAAAAGAUUUGCUUCCUGGUUAAGGAUUCUUGAUCGCUUUUCAGCGUUAGUGCGGCUGGUGGUUUGGAUGUACAGACUUGUUAUCUGUUACGGAAGGCUGUGGGAGCGUGUCCCAUGGGAAGGUUGUAUAAGUGUGGCAUGUAGUCACUUGAUUGAUUGAAGAAGUUAAACCAAGUAUGAAGAUUUUAGUGAUGUCGUUAAAUUGAGAAUUGAUGCCUGGAGGGCACUCGAUUUAUUGGGUUGUAGACUAUGGAGGGUCACUCCGGUUAUGAUGGUUGUUCUUGUAUGUUAUGAGAAAAAGGGGGGUGAUUAUGGACCUAUGAAAGGUUAUUGGCCUAGUUCGGUGUGAUCAGAAUCAGCUUGAGGUCUGUGGAUGGAUCUAAAUGUAAAUAUGGGCUCUAUAUCAGACCAGAUGUGUCAUUUUGGCAAUGUGCUCCUUAUGGAAGAAUAGUCGGGGUGUUAUUUCAUCGUCAUCUAUUUCAUGUAAUGAUGUAUUGCACUGUGUGAGUCGUGAGACGACUUGGUGAAUUUCUUAUGUGUUGAUAUUCUGCGUAGAGAUGAUGUUAUAUGAGCAGAAUGGCUCUUGAGAUUCAGAUCGUAUAUCGCACCUCAGUUGUGCUUGAGUUGUAGCUUAUAGCGCUAUAUGUCUCCCCAGGGAUGGUAUUAUGCACUUGACGUGCUGGUGACUGACAUUCGGUAUUUUGAUGUAAUGAGCAAUCACAAAUUAUCUAAUCUAAGUGUUUGGAAUAGUAGUUAGAUUCAUCAAUCCCCUCCAUUACACCAGUGCAUCAAUGAUCCCUUAACCCAACAAGACGAUAGGCUAACUAUUAAGGAUAUUUGGAUUAGUAAUCAGUGAGACUUAUCAAAACAUUUCAUAGAACUUCAACCAUUCUUGAUCAACAAAAUAAAGGCCACCACUCCCAGUUCUAAAAGUUGUGACACUCUUAUCUAGUCACUAACCACAAAUGGUCACUUUGUUAGCAAGUCGUGCUACAAUCUAUUAGAUACCCAAUCAAACGAUGGUAAGGAUUUUGCUUGGAUUUGGAAGAUGAAUUGUCCAAACAAAAUAAAAUUCUUGAUAUGGAAAUGCUACCAUUGAGAGACUACCUACUAGAAGCUAUUUAAAUCACAUUGGUAUAAACAUUGAUCCUACUUGCACCUUUUGCAAGAAUCAUAAGGAAAUCAUUACCUACAUAUUCAUGCAUUGCAUAGCCGUAAGAGACUUUUGGCUUCAAUUAGGGAUAGACAUAGAAAGCUGGAACAUAACUAAUAAUUGGUUGAUUAACAUUCGUGAUUACAAUUGUUUAGUAAAAAAGCGCAUCAUUAAUUGAAAAGAUAUAUAUCCUCUUGGUAUAUGGACUAUUUGGGUGAAUAGAAACAACAACUUAUAUAAUAACACCACAAACAAAUUAUUCAUGCAUUAUGCUUAUAGGUAGUCAGUGGAAUAUAAGCUCCUUACAGACAAGGAAGCUACGCCACAAGAAAAAAAUCCCAUCUCGGUAAAGUGGCUUAAGCCAACUUGUAACCAUAUUAAGCUUAAUAUCGAUAGUUCCUUUAAAGAAGAAAUUUCUCUUUGUGGCUUUGGGGUUUUUUUUAGGGACAAUAAGGGUAAAUAGGUGGUUAGAUUCUAAGGGUCUCUACCGGGUCUAUCUCCUUUACAUGUUGAAUUAAUGGCACUAGGGACAUGCCUACAUCUUGCAAUGGAACAAGGUUUCACAAACAUAGAAGUAGAAUCAGACUCCACUGAUGUCAUUAGCUGCUUAGAAAAUGGUUACACACCCCUUAACAACAUUACUCAUGAAUGUAGGUCAUUGAUGAACCAUGUGAAAGUUCAAACAAUCCAGCACAACUUCAGAGAGGCAAACAAGCUGGCUAAAAAUGCUAUCCAGGGAAACAAUAGCAAGGAUCUUGCAAUUAUGUACUAUUCACCAUCUUUUGUAACCGUUGUCUUAUCCUACAAAUAUGAAUGUUCUGUCUACCUAGUUAAUAACAUUAGCAAAGAUGCAUGCGCUAAACCUAUAUCAUUUGGAAAUAAAAAUGUCCUACGUGAAAUUAGUAGUUUUUGUAAUAGCCAAGUAGGUAAUGUCCCUUUGGACAAUGCUAAUUAUGUAAACUCUAUUUUUGUGAUAUUUAUAUAAUAGAUCCCUGCUUAUCAACAAAAAAAGAGUACUGAACUGUCAUUCAUUUUUUGGGUACAUUAGAUUAUUUUUCUUUUUUUAGAUUUUCACCCGAUUUUUGAUAUCCGUAUUGGAGUUCGACUAGGUUAUACGUUUUUUUUGGUUUUUUAUCCGAUUUUUUAUAUCCGUAGUGGAGCCACAGAUUGUUAAUUAUCUAUUAAAGGAAUAUGAUAUAGAUGUUAAGAUACAAAUUGUUAAUUAUUAGUUGUUAAUUGGUAGUUUUUUUAAGUUUGUUAGUUGCCAACUGUAUGAUAGUUAUAUGCCAGCUGUAUGGUAGUUAGUUGCCAGAUAUAGUAGUUGUAUUAUUUUCCUUGUUAGUUUGUAUAUAACUCUCUAAUUGAAUAUUAGUAGAUUGAGAUUAUUUUUCCCAUUUCUUUCUUCUUCCUCUCAUCAUUUUCUUCUCCCUCACACGACUGCUACUUCCAGAAGCUUCCAUCGAAUCUCUAUUGGAGCUUAGCUCAAGCUCAUUCUCAGCUGGACAUCCAAAAUUGUUAUGGUAUCAGAGCUAAUGGGAAUUUCAUCUCCGAUAAUUGUGUUCCUGUUCUAGAUCGACUAAUUCGUUGGUUUCAUUCGACACAUACAAACCUAAAUUCGAGUCGUUUUUGGGAUUUAUCUUUAUGAUUCACAUUUUUUUCGACUGCAAAUAUCAAUUGCAAAUUACUAGUUUUUUGUUCUUCGAUACUUCAGCUCAAUCGAUUCAGUCAUGGCAAUUCUAUAUGAGAAUGAAUGUUCUAGUGAUUUAAAAGCCAAUUUGUUGGCUGAUGGUGGUCAGUCCGGUGUAGAUCUGAGUAGUCCUUUCUACAUGCAUCCCUCAGAUAAUCCCAACGCAAUGUUAGUAUCAGUUUCUUUUAAUGGCGUUGGCUACAAAUCAUGGAGGAGGAGUGUGUUGUGUGCCCUUUAUGUGAAAAACAAAGUAGGUUUCAUCAAUGGGGAAUGUAAGAGACCAGAUCCAGAUUCUCAAAAGCUUCGAAUGUGGAGAGAUGUGACGAUAUGGUAACAUCGUGAAUUUUGAACUCAUUAUGUAAGGAAAUUGUAGAUAGCGUCGAAUGUGUAAAUGAUGCAACAGAAUUGUGGAAGUAAUUAGAAGACCGAUAUGACCAGACCGAUGGUGUAAAACUAUAUCAGAUUCAAAAGGAGAUCAACGAUCUUUCCCAAGGAUCCCUUGAUAUUACAUGGUAUUAUAGUAAGAUGAAGAAGUUGUGGGAAGAACUGAGAAACUUAAGUGCUAAAAAUUAAUGCACUUGUCAUUGCACCUGUGGAGCAAAAGAGAGUAUGCACAAUGCAGAACAAGAUAGGUGACUAAUACAUUUUCUUAUAGGGCUUAAUGAGGUCUACACUGUGGUACGAGCAACAUUUUAAUGAUGAAUCUAUUACCUUCAAUGGAACAUGUUGUCUCCUUGUUAUUCCCAGAUGAGAAACAGAGGGAAAUUAGACAUAGUAAUCAGCUUGCCUUUGAAUCAACUUCCCUGAAUGUGAACACCUUAAAGCAGAACAGUUACAGGACCAAUUACUCUCCUAGCAACAACUAUAAUGGUCAAACAAGUCAAGGCCAAUGUGUGAGUAUUGUAAGAGGCUGAGACACAUCAAGGAUAAAUGUUAUAAACUACAUGAAUACCCUCAGGGUUCUGGUCAAAACUUCAAGGGAAACAAUAACUUUUGCCUGCACAAUUCAAAUCAAAAUUUCAAGCCCAACAAUAGUUUUAACAGGGUGAAUAGGACAGUUGCAAAUGUACAUGGACCUCAGGUAAAUAUGCCAUCACAUGACGAAUUUGAUGCACAAAAGGAUAACCAAAGUGUAAGUUUGACUUAGGAGCAGUAUGGGCAAAUCAGGAGCCUGCUACAACACUUCUAGAUAGGAAAUGGAGGAGAGAGUACCAGCAAUGUGAAUUUAGCCUGUGCAACUGCCAACUUUGCAGGUAUUGUUGCAUGUACAUCUUUUAUUGAUUUUAGUAAAUUGUCAUGUAAUUGUUUCAAAAAUAGAGCUGACUCUUGGAUAUUAGAUUCCGGAGCUUCAAAUCACAUGACCUUUAACAAAUCCUUAUUGAUCAAAAUUAUAACCUUACCAUACCCUCUUCUUGUCAUUCUCUCAAAUAGAUAUAAAGUAAGGGUAACACAAAUUGACAAUACCUGAAAUCAUCCUGGAGUGUUGUUUAUACCUUUUUUCAAAUAUAAGUUGAUUUCUAUUCACCCUCUAACAGAACCUAAACGUCUAGUUGAUUUCUCUAACAUUUCAUGUUUGUUUUUGGCCUCUUCAAUGAAGAGGCUUCUGGUGAUUGAUAAGUCCAUAGAUGGGUUAUACUUCCUAUGUCAAAAAGGCCUGCAGAACAAACAGUACAGUCCUACAGUUAAUGUUCCUUUUUUUGUCAGGUUGUUGUUGUGCUUGCAACACAGUAUCACCUUCACAACAAUAUAGAUAAGUCAUUACUCAUGAAUACAUGUGUUCCUCUUUCGAUUGUAAAUAGUUCAUCUGCAAGAAAUAAAGAACAAUCUUUUACUCUGAGUUCUCAUGAACCUAUUAGAAAUGAUGUGAAUAUUCUAUGGCAUAAUAGACAUGUCCAUGUGCCUUUUUGUCAAAUUGAGAAACAUUACCUCAAUACCUUCUAGUUUUUCAUCCAAACAACCUUUCUUUUGUUCUAUUUGCCCCAUGGCCAGAUAAGAAAGACUUCCCUUUCCCCAGAAGACCAGCAUUACCACCAAAAUAUUUGAAUUAUUAUAUGUUGACCUGUGGGGACCUUACCAUGUUACAACACAUGACAACUGUAGGUACUUUAUUAUUACAGUGGAUGACUUCAGUAGAUCCACCUGGACUCACCUUCUAUCAUGUAAAAACGAUGUCCUUCAAACUAUUAAAUAUUCACAGAUGAGAAGUUUUGGAUGUUUGUGCUACCCUACAGUCCCUAAACCUCACAAGGACAAGUUUGAACCAAGAACUACCCCUCAUGUUUUUGUUGGUUAUCCCUUCAACAAAAAAGGUUAUAAGGUCUUGAAUUGGGCCACCAGAAAAAUACACAUUUCCAGAGAUUUCACCUUCAAUGAGUUUGUUUUUCCUUUUGCCAUGCAUAAUGACACUGCAUUCUUUCCAUCAGUCCUCAAUUCUAUUCCUUUUAUUGAUCAUUUGGAAGUAGAGCCAGAACAAGACACUGCUUAACACAGGUCAAGUGUCAUACAGCUUGCAAUGCCCUUAGAUCAUUCCUCUCCUAUCACAGCCUCACAUAAACAGUUUCCUAUACACAACAUCUCCCCAUCAAUGGAUCACUAUUUCCCUACAGAAGGUGAUUCUACUCCCAACAGUCCAGCGCCACCUACACCACAUGCUAGCCGUAAAAAGUCUCUUAGAGAACAUAAAACACUUGCAUACUUGAAAGACUACAUUCAUGCCACUCCAAACCUAAAGCCAAAGGAUGUUGCACCUACAUGCCCUGCUAACUCUUUUUCACUUAAUACAUUAUUCUUCAUUACAUUUCCAUAUCUACUGAAUCACUAACCCAUGAUAGUCAAGCUCUUAUGAGAAACAUUUGUCAUGACAGAGAGCCAAUUUCAUAUAAGGAAGCUGCUAUCAAUCUUGCCUGGAAUGAAGCAAUGACUCAGGAAUUUGAUGUUUUACACAACAGUCACACAUGGGACCUAGUGUCUUUGCCACAUGAAAAGAAAGCUAUAAGAUGCAAAUGGGUAUACAAAAUAAAACACAAGGCAGAUGAAAGUGUUGAAAGGUUCAAAUCAAGGCUAGUUGUGAAAGGAUACACACAACAAGUUGGAAUUUACUACAUAAAAACAUUCUCCCCCUGUGGUAAAGAUGACCACAGUCAAAGCUUUGAUUGCAACUGUAGUUAAGAAAGGAUGGUUCUUGUUCCAACUUGAUGUCAAUAAUGCAUUCAUUCAUGGUGAUCUUCAUGAAUAAGUAUAUAUGGAGAUCACACCGGGAUUGGUCUGUAAGUUAAACAAGUCCUUAUAUAGCCUCAAACAGGCAAGCAUGUAGUGGUAUGCUAAGCUGAGCGAAGCAUUGUGCUCCAGAGGUUAUUCACAUUCUAUGCUUGAUUAUUCACUAUUCUACAAGAAAUAAGGCACUAAUGCAAGUUAUGUGACAGUUUAUGUAGAUGACAUAGUUGUCAUAGGCACUGAUAUAAUAGAAUUGGAGAAACUGAAGAGUUUUCUUCAUGCCAGUUUCAAAAUUAAGGACCUUGGUAAGCUGCACUACUUCCUGGAAUGGAAGUAUUGUAUAAGGCAGAGGGGGUGGUAAUAUCACAAAGAAAGUUUGCACUAGAUCUAUCAAAGGAGUAUGAUUAUUUAUCUCAAAGUGGUUUCUCUUCUCCAUUGGACCCUACUGUCAAGUUGAAAGCCAAGGAGGGUGCCACAUUACAAGAUCCUACUUACUAUAGAAAACUAGUGGGGAAGCUCAAUUUCUUAACCAACACCAGAGUAGACAUUGCUUAUGGAGUCCAAUACUUGAGCCAAUUCAUGCAAGACCCUAGAUAGCCUCACCUUAAGGUAGCCUUUCAUUUGCUCAGAUAUCUGAGAACUAAUCCAACAUUGGGAAUAUUUUUUUCCAAAGAUGAGGACUACACUGUGAGAGCCUAUUGUGAUUCUAAUUGUGCAUCGUGUCCAAAUUCUAGAAAAUCUCUCAUUGGUUACAUUGUCAUGCUAGGCCACAGUCCUGUUAGCUGGAAGUACAAGAAAUAAGAAACUGUUUCAUUAUCAUCUGCAGGGGCAGAGUACAAGUCACUUAGGAAAGUUGUAGGAGAGUUGGUUUGGUUGAGCAGACUAUUUGGAGAGUUGACAGUUCCUUUUCCUCAACCAAUUGAUGUCUACUGUGACAGUCAAUCUGCACUUCAUAUAGCUAGAAACCCUGUUUUAUGAACGAACCAAACACAUCGAGGUUGAUUGUCACUUUGUACGUGAUAAACUUCAAGAAUGACUCUUUUCCUUGCACCAUAUCACUACUACUGCUCAAUUGGCAGACAUCCUAACCAAGGCCUUGACAAGCAUCAAACAUUUUGCCAUACUGAACAAGUUGGCUAUGCUUCCCUCACUUCCUACUUGAGGUGGGUGUUAAGACACAGAUUGUUAAUUAUUAGUUGUUAAAUGGUAGUUUGUUAGUUGCCAGUUGUAUGGUAGUUAUAUGCCAGAUGUAGUAGUUGUAUUAUUUUCAUUGUUUAUUUGUAUAUAACACUCUAAUUGAAGAUUAUAGAUUGAGAUUCUUUUUUCUAUUUCUUUCUUCUUCCUCUCAUCAUUUCUUCUCCCUCACACGACAGCUACUUCCAAAAGCUUCUAUCGAAUCUCGAUUGGAGCUUAGCUCAAGCUCAUUCUCAGCUAGACAUCCAAAAUUGUUAAUAUUUAUUGCAUGAUAUUCAUAUUGGAGCCCAACUAGGUUAUUAGAUUUUUUUUGUUUUUCACGUGAUGACUGAUAUCCGCAGUGGAGUCCGACUAAUUAUCCAAAUUUGAGUCGAAAAAUUUCACAUUAGGGGUAAAGCACUCCAUAACAAAGGCGAUUUCGUAUUCAGAGUUAGAACCCGAGACCUCUAAUUAUAGAUGAAGAAGUACUUACUACUCCAUCAUAACUCUUGUUGAUAAAAAUUUAAGAAAUGUCCCAAACUAGAUUCGAACCCGAGACCUCCGGUGUUUUAGAAUUUAGCUCAUCCAGUAGGUCACACCGUUCUCUUUUUUCCCCAUAUACCAAUAGUUUUCUAUGUUUCAAUUAAGAUGACGCAUUUUCAUUAUUAGUCUGUUCCAAAAAAAAUGACAUAUUUUUCCAAUUGAAAAUAAUUCAACUUUAAAUUCUUUAUUUUACUCAUUUUACCCUUAAUUAAAAGAUUUAUAACCAUACAAAUGUCAUGAUCCCACAAAAUUUUUACCCUUCAAGUUUUUAAGAUCAAAAAGUCAAACCAUCUUAAACAAAUAGAGUAACAAAGUUCGUGCAGUGCCACAAUGGGGAAGUGGCUCAUUUUCUUUUUCUCUGUGCCAAAAGAAAGAAAAAAGUGGUGUAAAGAUGCCAAUCGGAUUUGAAUUUGGCCCUACACGAACAUGCAACUUGGCUUAAGUUUUGCUUUUUAAGUAAAAGGAUAUCUAAAGUAUAUACCAUUGCUUCCUGUGUUAAUUUAUAUUCUACUUUAUAUGGUAGUGAUGCCUUCUUCUUCUUUUUUUUCAUGUUUAAUUUGAAAGAAGCCUAUUGAGAAUUGAUUAAGUUUAUGUUUUAAUUAUUUAUGAUUGUCGGUCGCAAAUGCUCAAGUUGGAGAGCUUAGUAAUCAGUUUAGUUUCAAGGAAGGAGCUUGAUAGCUCAUCAUUUGGCCAAAGAAGAAUCUGAAAAAGUUAAACUGUGAUGUAGUUUAAUUGGGGCGGCGUGUUGGCCAGUCAAGAAAUUUCAUGUCCAAAAAAUGAAGAUGGCUGGGAUGAGAAUAUUGAGGUGGAUGUACGGAUAUACCAGAUUAGAUAAAAUUAGAAAUGAAGUUAUUUGGGACAAGGUAGGUAUGGCCUCCGUGGAGGACAAAUGCGGGAGACGAGACUUAGAUGAUUCGGGCAUGUUAAGAGGAGAGACAAUGAUGCUCCGGUGAGGAGGUGUGAGCGGCUUGCAUGGGAGGGCCAAUAGAGAUGUAGAGGCAGACCGAGGAAGUAUUGAGGAGAGGUGAUUAGACAAGAUAUGGGUUGCUCUAACUCACUAAGGACAUGACCAUGGAUAAGAAGGUGUUGAAGUUGAAAAUAAAGAUAAAAGGUUAGGUGGUCCAGUGUUGUCCUUGUGUGUAGCAGUAGCUUUGAUACACCACUUGAUGUCUUUUGUGUUUUUUCCUAUCCCUAGACUUCUAUUACUACAUGUUGUUAUCUUGUUUUCGAUUUUCUAAUUGCAUUAUGUACUAUUAGUUUUGUAUUUUUGCUUUGGUUGUCAGAUCAGUUUGCUUGUCAUUACCCCUCUCUUCCCCUUUUGAGCCGAGGAUCUACCGAAAAUAGCUUUUCUGCCUUCUUAAAAGUAGGGGUAUAAUUUGGGUAUACCCUAUCCUACCAGACCACACUUGUGAAACUACGUUGAGUAUAUUAUUGUUGUAGUAGUAUUAAAAUUCAUCUCCCAGCUAACAUAGUCGAUACCACUAUACCAAAUGACCAAUUAGGAGCAAUUCUUUAUUAAAAACUCGGAGAGUGUUUUGGUUUAAUUUGGCUAGUCUUGAAAACAUUUAGUGUAUUUAGCGGUGGCGAAACCAAAAAAUUCAAUAAAAGUAUUCAAAUUUAGAAUACUCUUUGCCAAUAAGUUACGCAAGGGUGUUCAAAGUCUAAUUUUUAAUUAAUAACAAAUAAUAUUUUAUCUUAUACGAAAUAUAAUUUUUGACAAAGGGUUGGACAAACAUAGUUUCGCCCCUAGUCCUUAGUGGCACUCCUAUUACUGUAAUCACUGUUUAAUUUCUUUCAUUUUCUUGAUUAAAAGUGUUGAUAGCUGGCUAGAAUCAAUCUACUUUAUUUUUCAAGAUUACAAAUAUAAUUUUAUUUUUUUGGAGAUCAUUUGUAGAUAUUUUUUGGGUGAUCUGAUCAUGUAAUUUUUUUUACACUAUUGGUAUAAAUUAAACUCUUUUACCAUAGAUUUAAUUUUAAAUGAUAGUAGAGAUAGCAAACGAUGCGGUGCGGUGCGGUUGCGGGGCAAACCCGUAUAAACCCGCGAAGAUUUAAACCCGCGCCCGCCCCUCAUAGCAUGUGUACCCGCAUACACCCGUCCCACACUCACACCCGCAUUCACCCGCCCCGCCCCGCCCCGUAUUUUUUUCUUUCAUUUUUCAAUUUUAUAUCUUUUGAGCUUUUGGUUGGACUUUCUGAUUUAAUCAAGCGAAAAAUUGAAAUCUCUUUUGUUGCUCUUAAGUUACUGUGCCCUUUAAAAAAUUAUUGAGCCAAAACUUAAUAAAAUGACAACAAAGUAUUUAAUGAAUCAAAACUUCUAAACAGAAAAUGACAACAAAUUAUUGAAUAAGACAUGUGAUUUAAUACUAGUAUAGCUUUCUUGCUUUUGAACUCUUAAGCUAUUGUACCCUUUUAAAAAAAUAUUUAACAUAUAAAACAUUUUUAUUUUUAUUUAGUUAUACUUUUUAUUGUUUCACGAAGGGGAGCCUUGGCGUAAUUGGUAAAGUAACUGGCAUGUGACCAGGGUAAGGCUGCGUACGAUAGACUUUUAUGGUCCGACUCUUCCCUGGAGCUCGCGCAUAGCGAGAGCUUAGUGCACCGGUCUGCCCAUUUUUAUUUUUUAUUGUUCCAAUUUUAAUACUAUAAAUCUAUUUAGUAAGAUAAAUAUUUUUUUAUUUAAGAUUUGCAACACAUUAGUGUUUUAAGUGAUUUAUUAGAAAAAGAUAGGAAUAACACAAUUAUAUUCAUAAAGAAUUUCCACGAUAUAGAUGGUGUAUUUGAUUUUUUUUAAAUAAAGAAUUUCCAUGAAGUUAGCAACAUCUUGCCCAUCCCAGAUUAGUGUUCAACCAUUUUGAUAGUUCAAAAUUCAAACUGAUAAUAAAUAUAGACCGUCUAUUUGUGUUUUGCCUUUUUCCAACAAAAUACCUUAUUUUCCAACGACAUUGAAGGUGCAAGUACAAUUAAGCACUAAUAUGUUUCAUUACACCUGCUCAGUGACCGUGGUUAGCUUUCAGACUGAAUGUGACUUUUUUUUUAAAAAGACCAGCACCCGCCCCGCAACCCGCAAAGAUUUUUUCUUAAAAAAAUAAACCCGCCCUGUCCUGCACCCGCAAAGCCCAAACCCGCCCCGCCCCGCAUAGGUCGAAACCCGAUUCGCCCCAUUGUCAUCCCUAAAUGUUAGGAACAAUGCUAAGGGAUCAACCAAGUAGUUGCCCGAGGGAUAGCUUAUCUGUUGCAUAACAUUCCCUUCUCCAUUCACCAUCCCUACCGUAAUUCUCUUAUAGUGUACUGUAUUACAUGAAAUGUAGUUCAUGAUUUUUACUUCGCUCUCUUUAGCAUUUUGAUUUAACAUUACCCAAGCAGCUUGUACCUUCUCAUCUUCUUUAUCAGGUAACCUGCCAAUUCAACAUAUUGAGCGACAUUUUGCCUGUAAAAUUCAUUAAUAAAUAAGUAUCUCCCUACCUCGAUGUAAUUAAAAAAAAAAGAGUAGUUCCCGACAAUAGUUUAUACACUCAACGAAGAAAGAAAACAUAACAUUCUCUACUCAGAGAAUUUAGGCACAUACUCUACUUGAGUUCACGUGGUGGACGAAUUUUUUAUCUUGGUCGGUGGAAACCCAGAUUUCCCCAUGGUCAUAUGUAUGUCCAGUACUUCAAAUGUGGAAUCUUCCAUUUCUUUUUAAUUAUUAUUAUUAUUAUUAUUAUUAUUAUCUAUUUUUCAAGAAAAUGAAAAAAAAUCGAUUCAGAAGAAUUAACAUCAUUAGUUCGAAUGACUAGAUACCUUUGUAGUUUAAUUUAUACAACGACGUAACAACAACAACAAACAGAUUCAGUGUAAUUUUACAAUUGAAGUCUAGAAGGAUUAGUGCUUAUUCGUACCUUAUACAGAUAGAGAUGUUAUUUUCGAUAGACUGUGUUAGUAGUUUAUAUUUCUAUAUAUUUAAAAUAUUGCACUACUAUUUUCUAAUAUUGGUCAAAGUCACUGAUCAACAAACUUUCCAGAUCCUUUUCUGCAUUCUCUAUUCAUUAAUGGAGAAUUAUAUAUUUAUAGCAAAAGCAGUAUGGUCAAAGGUUAGUGUUGAUUCCAAUGUAACUUUGAGGAGCAGACACCACAUUAUAAGUACUGCUAAAUUAGUUAGGACCACAUGCAUCAAAGCUCUAAAACUUGCUGACACUGUUAAAAAAAAAUUAUAAAAAAGUUAUUGUUUAGAUUUGUAAACUUACCCAUUUGUAGGCAAACAAACCAGGACAUCAAGGAGAGAAAGAUAAACCUCUUGUUUAUCAUGCAUUCAUAUCUUUGAGAAGGCUAAAAGAAAAUUGGUUAAACCCUAAUUUUUCUUGAUAUUCAAACCCCAAUUUUUUUUUAAAAAAAAUCCUUACACAAAUAGCCAGCCAGAUUUACUUAUUUACUUUUGCUAACUUGUUUACAUAAAUUAUACAUGGUUGUACACAUAUUAUAUAUGAAUUGUAUAUAUAUUAUAUAUUCAUUGGUUAUUUUUUGUUUAAGUGGUUGGGUGAAAGGUUAUUUAGGUUAAUUUUUUUUCACAUGCGCAGUGACCUACUAGAAAAGUUCAACUCUUAGAGAUGAGACCAAUAGGAAACGUUUCACAAAUUAAAAGAAUUUGGGAUAAUAUUGAAAAAGAAAAAUGAACUUUUGAUUACUCUAAAUUAAAUGAACUUAUUAAGAAGCAAAAGGAGGGGGAAAAAACUGCUAAUUAGAGCUUUUAUUUAGACAGAGAGAUUCAGCUGGUCGGACUGAGCAAUAGUUUGACAAAGUGAAACAAGAAGCUUUCAGAGAAAAAGAAAAUCUAUUGCAAAAUAUUAAAUCCUCUACUUUUACUUUCUUUUCAAAUAAUUAGUUUUGAUUUAGUUAGAUGGUUGAUGAAUCUAUCAUCUUUUUUAGAUCGGAAAAGGGCUAAAUAUACCCCUAUACUUUCAAAUAUUGUUUACCUGUACCCUUUGUUAUAUUAUUGGGCUAUCCAUACCCCUGCCGUCAUACUUUGGAAUAAAAAUACCCCUAUUGUCAUACUUUGAAACAAAAAUACCCCUAUUUUGGAUGGAGUGCCACGUGGGAACACCAGAUUAAAACGACCUAUUUCUUUUUUUUACCCGAUCCGUUUUUUAAAAAACACACAACCUGACCCCUAUUUUCAUUUUUUCUAGUUUUUUUUUUUAAAUUUCAGUUUUGAAAAAACGAAAAUAUUUUGUUAAAAACAAAAAAAAUAUGUUUUUACAAAUUUGUUUUUCCAAUUUUUACUAAACAAAANNNNNNNNNNNNNNNNNNNNNNNNNCAAAAUUACCCCCCCCCCCACACCCACCACUCUUUUCCUUCUUUUUCGAUUCAUAUGUUAAAUAAAAUUUUAUAUACCUUAUAAAAAAAUCCUUUAUUUAUAGAACCCAAAGAAGCUAAAACCCUUUAAAAAAAAUUAAGUUUAUAACAAAAUAUUUUCUUUUUUUAAAAACUGAAAACAUUAUUUUCAACAAAAUAUUUUCGUUUUUGAAAAAUAUUUUUUUCCUUUUUUUCAGGUUUUUAAAAGAAAUUUGUUUUGUAAAAACUGGAAAAACAAAUUUGUAAAAAUAGAUUUUUUUUGUUUUGUUUUUUAACAAAAUAUUUUCGUUUUUUAAAAACUGAAAUUUUAAAAAAAAAAAUUGGAAAAAAAAUAAAAGUAGGAGUCGAGUUGGGGGUUUUCUUAAAAACAGAUCGGGUAAAAAAAAUGGGUCGUUUUAAUCUGGUGUUGUCAUGUGGCACUCCAUCCAAAAUAGGGGUAUUUUUGUUCUAAAGUAUGACGGUAGGGGUAUUGAUAGCCCAAUAGUAUAACGAAGGGUACAGGUAAACAAUAUUUAAAAGUAGAGAGGUAUAUUUAGCCCUUUGCCGUUUUUAGAUUAAAGUAACAGUCGGUGGAUUUAUAUUGUAUACUGUAGUAUGUGUUUCUAAUGUAUAUAGUACAACUGCAUUUAUCAAUACAUUAUAUGUUUGAUUUCAAAGGGAACACCCUUUUUUUAGUGUGCUAUAAGUAAAUCUCACUCUAGUGCAAUAGCUCUAAAUCAUACUAGAGAGAUAAACCACAAUAGACAAGCCUCGUACAACGAACUCGAUGACCGAGAAGCAUGCGUGGAAUUCCGAACCUGCAACCUCCUGAUUGGGAUCUCCUACUCAAUCAACUCGACUAUACCCUUGUGAGUAUAUAUUAGUGAAACUUUGGUCGUACAUUGUCCACUAAAAACUACUCCAUCCGUUUACUUUUACUUGGUAUGUAUAUUAAAAAUAAAUUUUUAUUUUUACUUGUCACUUUACGCAUAUCAAGAGAGAAAAAAUUAUUUUUCCUGUUAUCCCCACAGUAUUUAUUACUCAUUUCAAAUCAUUUUCUCAAAUCUAAAUAAAAUAUGCAUCAAUUAAUAUGGGUAUCUGUCAAGACCCAAAAUCUAACCAUGGUCGUGAUAGCGCCUAUCGUGUUACAAGGCAAGCUUAUUCCCAAAAUAUUACUACUAAUUUGAUUAUAAGAAUUUAAUAAAAUAUUUCAACAUUUAAAUUUUUCAUAAACUAAAUCAACUCUAAAUAUAAUAUAUAAAAAAAUACGGAAACGAGUUUCAAACAUCGGGGUGUCACUAAGUCAUGAGCGUCUAACACUAUAAACUAAGAUAUAUAAACUGUCUAAAUGUCCAAAAGAAGAAAUGACAAGAGGAGUAACAAGGUCUUGUGGACGCUGGCAGCUACCUUGCAAUCUCCACAGAUAGCUGGCCUGAAAUCAACGAUCGUCGCACCCUAACUCACCUGGAUCUGCACAUAAAGUGCAGGGUGUAGUAUGAGUACAAUCACCUCAGUAGUAACAGAAAUAACUAAGGAACUGAGAAGUAGUGACGAGCUAAGUAAAACAGUCCAAUUAUUUAUUUUCACAAUUUUAAAAAAAAUAAACAUGAAUAAACAGGUAAAUUCCAUAACUCAUUAAAUACCACAAAGAAAUUUAACAGAUAAAUGCAGCAAUAGCAAAAGUAAAUGCAACUUCACAGUAAUGUCACUCCAUCACUCAGCCCUCGCACUCAACACUCAAAACUCAACACUCUGCGUUCACUAGGGGUGUGUACAGACUCCGAAGGGGCUCCCAAAGCCCAAGCACUAAGCACGGACAACUCACGUACCAUCAUAUCAAUACCUGGAUCCGCACGGUCAACUCACGUGCUACGCGGACAACUCAUGCGCUAUGGUAUCAAUACCGGGACCCGCACGGUCAACUCACGUGCUACGCGGGCAACUCAUGCGCUAUGGUAUUAAUAUCCUCACAACCAGGCCCACGGCCUUACUCAAUCAUGUACCUUCAUCAACAAAUAAGGGAAUACAGCCAAUAUCAAGUAUCACAGCAUAUUAGCAAAUAAUAGAGGCUUAGGUUAACAUGUACAACAAUUUCUAUGACUGAGUACAAAUAAUUUAAGCAUGAAUAAAGCCUAAAAAUGAUCUCUAACAUGAAGGCAAACAAGUUCAAAAACAAGUAAACACAUAACCACAGAUAAUCGCCAUUAGGCGUCACAGCCUCAUGAGACGGACCAAGUCUCAGUCCCUCGCAGUGCACACCCAUACGCACGUCACCUAGCAUGGUGUCACACCCCUUUUUUUACAAAACUCGCUAACCUCUCUAAAAUAAAUAAAAAUAUUUAGUAAAUCUCGAAAAAGGGUUUUUAAUUAAAAAAUGACAAAAUUGUGUUCAAAAGAAAAUAAUUCAGAGUCGCCACCUGACAUUGGUUUCGAUGUAUCAGGUCACCAUUUUUUUUAAAAAUGAUUUUUCCUUUAAAACACUUUGGACUCCAAAACUAAGUCUGCAUCAGAGAUUUGGGUAAGGGGGUUCAUUUGACUCGGGGAGAAGGUGUUCGGCACUCCCCAAGUCCCGUGAAAGUCACGGUUGCGUACUCGGUCUAGUUGGCUUUUAAAAUAUUCAAGUUGAGGUAAAAUCACAGAAAAGCAAAAUAAAUACACACGAGGCUCGAGGUCGUCCCCACCUAAUAAAAAGAAAAUGAAAAUGAAAAUAAAAAUAAUAAUAAAAAUACUACGAAUUCUAUUAUCGAUCUUCAAGUACAAAUACUUCCGGGCAUACCCCGGAAUAAAAUAUAUACAAAUUUUUCGGGGCAUUCCCCGAAUAAAUUUAACUAAAGGAACGACCUCUCGCCUCAAAACUAACAAAAAUCCUAAAGUUUGCCUACCCAGGUGCUAGCGGACCUAAACAUGCUCUUAGCGAUUAAAUUCAUAAAUGGAUAAAGUAAAAGAAGCAAGAUUAUUUAAGCUCAUUUUCUUUCACAUUUUAAAAGCCAACCCCCUAUAACCCAUUUGCUCUAACAAUUCAUAUUACUAGAAUCUAUCCUACUUCAAUUCUUGAUUACUUUUCUGCAUAAGUAUUCUUACCCAACAGAUACAAUUAGGAAUAAAGCCAACAUACAAACCAUAACUAAACAUUUAUCAAAUGAAUUUCAAGUAAUAAGUAAACUAGGCACAAAUAAACAUAGUAGAAAAAUUAAUUAAAGUAAGUACUGAAAUAAUGUCAAAUUAGGAGGAGAAAGAGAAAUGGACCUCAAUUAAGGUAGGAGCUUCUCCAAUUUUAAUUAAAACUCCCAGCAAGAUGUACAACAAAUAAUCCGUCUCAAUUGAAUUGUGACCAAACCGCAACCGAAACUCGGAUCCGCAACCUCGAACGACAAACUCACUAGGAACUCGACUGCAAGUUUUUGCGGGAACUCGGAUCUCUAAACCAAACCCCAUUUCACUGCUUAGUGUCGAAUUGAUUUGAGGUCUAAGAGUUUUGAUUACUGAGGCAAAGCGUCGAGCAUGCGAACUGCAAAUUAUGAAAACCCUCAAAGCUGAGCACUGUGGAGGGUGGUGGCGGAGUUGGUGGCUCUCGUCGGUCAACAAGGAAAUGAAAAGAGAAUUGAAGUUUGAAAAGGAAGAUGACGUGUUUCAAGAUUUUUAAAAUAUCCAGUGGUCUGCUAGAAAUAGAAAGAAGAAAAGGUGGAGUCAGUGGUCAGCGAAUUUCCUAAUUUUGUCACUGUUUCGUCCCCCUCGUUUUCUCUAAGUUAUUUUUUUCCGUUUCUUUAUGUCCGUCCCUUUUCUGUGUGCAUGUGUCCGGGUGUUCUUGUGUGAAUAUGGUUGCCUUCUUUUGUAAGGGAGAAAAAGAGGAUGUGAAGGCUGCUCCCUCUCAAGAAUGAGGGUGAGAGCAUUUUAUACUAGGGUUUUCAAAAUGUAGUCUCUUUAUUAUUCAAGACAAAAAGAAAAUAUAUAAAAUAUAUAGCAAAUAUAGAAAGCAAAAUAAAGUAUACAUUUUGAAUCUGUUCUUGUAAACAAAAUGAAGAAGAAUGUGCAGGAGUCCAAGGUGUGGGUGGGGUCCACAUUUUUAUUUUUGUUCCUUUGCAUUUUGCUUCAUCCGUUCCUUUCCUUCUAAUUUUGUUUCGUUGGUUUCUUCUUUUUGUUUUUCUUUUGUCUUUUUGAUUUUUUUCUGAUUUUCUUUAGCUAAAUCAAACGUGAGUACAUAAAAACACUACUCCUAAAUGAAAAAAGGACUAUUAAGAAAAACAAAAUAGCUAUAUUCUUAAGGUAGUAUAAAAUCUUUCAAUCUACUGUUAGAAAUUUAAUUUAAGACUUACACUACAUCAAAUAGACACAAAUUAAUAUAUANNNNNNNNNNNNNNNNNNNNNNNNNNNNNNNNNNNNNNNNNNNNNNNNNNNNNNNNNNNNNNNNNNNNNNNNNNNNNNNNNNNNNNNNNNNNNNNNNNNNNNNNNNNNNNNNNNNNNNNNNNNNNNNNNNNNNNNNNNNNNNNNNNNNNNNNNNNNNNNNNNNNNNNNNNNNNNNNNNNNNNNNNNNNNNNNNNNNNNNNNNNNNNNNNNNNNNNNNNNNNNNNNNNNNNNNNNNNNNNNNNNNNNNNNNNNNNNNNNNNNNNNNNNNNNNNNNNNNNNNNNNNNNNNNNNNNNNNNNNNNNNNNNNNNNNNNNNNNNNNNNNNNNNNNNNNNNNNNNNNNNNNNNNNNNNNNNNNNNNNNNNNNNNNNNNNNNNNNNNNNNNNNNNNNNNNNNNNNNNNNNNNNNNNNNNNNNNNNNNNNNNNNNNNNNNNNNNNNNNNNNNNNNNNNNNNNNNNNNNNNNNNNNNNNNNNNNNNNNNNNNNNNNNNNNNNNNNNNNNNNNNNNNNNNNNNNNNNNNNNNNNNNNNNNNNNNNNNNNNNNNNNNNNNNNNNNNNNNNNNNNNNNNNNNNNNNNNNNNNNNNNNNNNNNNNNNNNNNNNNNNNNNNNNNNNNNNNNNNNNNNNNNNNNNNNNNNNNNNNNNNNNNNNNNNNNNNNNNNNNNNNNNNNNNNNNNNNNNNNNNNNNNNNNNNNNNNNNNNNNNNNNNNNNNNNNNNNNNNNNNNNNNNNNNNNNNNNNNNNNNNNNNNNNNNNNNNNNNNNNNNNNNNNNNNNNNNNNNNNNNNNNNNNNNNNNNNNNNNNNNNNNNNNNNNNNNNNNNNNNNNNNNNNNNNNNNNNNNNNNNNNNNNNNNNNNNNNNNNNNNNNNNNNNNNNNNNNNGAAGGUGCUAGUUCAUUCUUCUUCAGCUUUUCGUAUCAAAACCGGACACAUCAUGCUUGUGACUUUAGUCAUGUCUUGAGCAAUCCAUCUCUUAUCUCGGCUUCUGCAUUUUGGAUUCACUUCCCUUUUCUUUUUCUUUCUUUUUUUCAUUUUUUUUUUGUUGCUCUUUUUUUUAAUUCUGGAUUGAGAUUACUUCUGUUGAUCAUCUCGGACUGCUAACUCGCAUUCUUGCCGCGAGCUUCUGCUACUUCUAAUUUAAAUUGGAUUCUGAAAUGACAUCCCUUGUUCUCCAGGGGCGCCUGCUACUGACUUGAAAUUUGAAGUAACUCUGAAAAGAACUCGAAAUGGAUUCCCUCGUUCUCCAGGUGGGCGCCUGCAACUUGCUUGAAACUUGAAAUGAAUUCCCUCAUUCUCCAGGUGGGCGCCUGCGAUCAAAACAACAAAACAAACAAAAUUUUCUGCCCCAGUUUGCACUAGGAAGAUCUGUGAGUUGUUAGCAAAACCAUAAACCACUUAUGCUAUUGAUGCAAUGAUAAGAGUAAGCUAAAGACUUGACUGAUAUGUGUGUCUCCUGUGAGUAAAAUCAAGAACAUAUGACUAGCAAAUUCAUCAGACUAGGUCUUUUUGUUAUCUUAGGAGAACGAUUCAUCAGACUAAGAUUAUGAUCCUAGGAGAAAAUUCAAGAGACUAGGUUUUCUAUCUUAGGAGAAAAAUUCAUCAUACUAAGAUUCUAUCCUAGGAGAAAAUUCAUCGGACUAGGUCUCUUAUCGUAGGAGAAAGAUUCAUCAGACUAAAAUUUUGAUCCUGGGAGAAAAUUCAUCAGACUAUGUAUUUUUUUGUCAUCUUAGGAGAAAGAUUCAUCAGACUAAAAUUUUGAUCCUAGGAGAAAAUUCAUCAGACUAGGUCUUUUUGUUAUCUUAGGAGAAAAAUUCAUCAGACUAAGAUUUUAUCCUAGGAGAAAAUUCAUCAGACUAGGUCUUUUUGUUAUCUUAGGAGAAAGAUUCAUCAGACUAAGAUUUUGAUCCUAAGAGAAAAUUCAUCAGACCAGAAUUAUGAUCUUAGGAGAAAAUUCAUCAAAUUAGGUCUCUUAUCUUAGGAGAAAAAUUCAUCAGACUAAGAUUUUGAUCCUAGGAGAAAAUUCAUCAGACUAGGUCCCUUUCUGUUAUCUUAGGAGAAAGAUUCAUCAGACUAAGAUUUUGUUUGGGAGGAAAAUCCAUCAGACUAGGACUUUUUAUCCUAGGAGGAAAGAUGUGAAGAGCAAUGACAACAUUCUAUGUAUGCACACUAGCAAGACAGGUAAGGGAAAAGAUUUGAGAAACUCCCCUUUGUCGAUUCUUCUCUUCUUUUUUUCUUUUUCUUUCUUUUCUUUUCUUUUUUUUUUCUUGUUUGAACCAACUUGCUUGCACUGCUUUGUUCCUGUUUCAAACAAAGAAAUUUGUGAGUUUAAAAUGUGGUGGUUAGUUUGUGGCCUUGACCUUGAAGGUGGUUGCUUCUGCACUUGCCAAGAUAACUUUGAUUUCAACUUGGAAGACCUUGCCUGUUAUCGACUACUCAUUUUCUAUCAACCAUUAUCACAGAAAACACCUAUGCUCCAUUCGACCCCAAUAUCCUUUAUCUGUUGUAUUUUGCUCAUGAGUUGACAUUUACUGAACCUUUGCAUUUCACAUGAAUCCCAAAGCAUGUUGAUUGUGACCAACUCAGUGCGUAUACUAUUCUUUCUUGACUUAUGCCAUUUUGAUGUGCUAGCCAGAAUCCGCUUUGUGCAAUUGGAAAGUUGGUAGAAAAUUUUGAAGUCAUUUCUCACAUGUUCUGACCAAACAGACUCAAGAAGGGACUCAAACAAAACAAGAGGAACAAAAUAAAGGACAGGGGAAAAAGAUGAUACCUAACAAGAAAAUUACAAAGUAGAAACCUAUCAGAUGUGGAUACCAACUCUAAUGACCAUGACAUGCACCUUUGGAUUAAGUGGCCUAGUCUCUCAAGAAAGUCUAAUAUUCAACUCUUGUUGUACCUCUUCGCUAUGAAACUGGGCUUCAGCGCUUCAAUUGUCCUAUUUGAUCCACAAUCCUCAGUCGACUUGUAGUGCCCUGAGGGUUUUCACCAUCAAGCCUCUCUCAUUUUGCUCUUUUUCUCAACUCACCGUCGCCUUACGGUGCCCAUGAGGGUUUUUACCUAUAAGACUCUCUCAUUUAUCAUUUUUUCUCUUUUCUAUGAGAAUAGAGUAUUACCCAUGAUGUAGGAAGAUCAUACUUUUGCCACACACUUGAUUUGACAUCCUCAAAGAUUGGUCGGAAGGUCUUUCUUUGGAACGUAAUGUAGGCUUUUGGACAGGGUUAGAAAUAAAGGAUAUCAUAAAGGCUCAAAAUAACUAAGAUGAAAGAGUUAAAAAUUACAACUUUUGGAAUCAAAUCAUUUGGCAAAAUUAAAACUCCUGCCCCAGUUUCUUGGAGUUUGGGGGAUUUUUUUGGAUUUUUGCUUUGAUGGGAUUUCUAAGAAAACUGCCCCACUCUUGACUUCGAGGAUCAUGAAAUAUUUUAUUUUAUGUGACGGAACCGUAAGGCUGCCUACGUAUCUUGUGGUGACAAGAAUCAGGUCGAACGUAGUUCAAACACAAAGUUGGACUAUUUUGUUGUUUUCGUUUCCUUUUCUUUCUUUCAUUCUUCUUUUUUCUUUCUUUUUUUUAUUCUCUUUUUUUUCUUUUUACUUUUUUUUUCUUUCCUUUUCUCCUUUUUCUCUUUUUCUUUUCUUUUCUAGUUCUCAACUCUACAUCUGAUUCCAAAAGAGAGAUAUGAAACAAAACUUUGGGCUCAAAAUGGGUAGCAAAGGAUAAAAGUAUUUGGGUAGCAGAAUAAAAUGCCUUCGUCAUACCAAACUUAAAAAUGCCAAGUACAAACAUGCAAUUGAAGAUAAGCAAACAAAUCAUACGUAGUACCUAUUGACGACAUCAACACAAACAAAAAGUGUCAUAGGCAAUACCUUUCUCCCAAUGAAUGAUCCUUGCCAGUUCGAAGCAGACUUGAUUCAAACUUAUCUUGAUGUGGAAGAAUGCAUUUCAGCACUGACUGAUUUACCUCAAACUGCUCAAGAGACAUUCCCUUAUUGUAUACUCUCAUCAACCUAUUGAUUUUUCAGACUAACUACCUCAGUUUCACUCAAUUUAAGCUUUAGGUUAUCUCAGAAUGCGUGAAUCUUUACUUGUUCCCUCAAAUGCACAUUCAAAAUUGUGACAUUGCUUCCUGAUUAGACUAACUUUCAAGACCAGAUUGAGAAUUAUAUGUGCGUGUCAUGUCACUAGAGUCAGCAUGAAAAGAAUUAUAAAAGAGAAUGUGACCUAAACAAAAACUGACUAGAACUAACAGAAAACAGGAGAUUGCAUUAGACAGAUGGUGAACAUAGUUUAAACAAAACAAGCAAAAUAGAUAUGGGUUACAACCCUGGAACAAUCCUAGAUAACACUAGACGAGUUGCUACAACUAAACGAACUAGUCAAAAUAAGAAGAAGAAGGGUUUGGGUCACAAGACAAUAUCCGGAUUACAACCCUAAAAUAACCCGGAUAACAGAAAUGACAACAAAAUAAACCACCAAAACUCUUUCCUGGCUAGCCAAGAAAGGAGUGUCUUUCUGAUUACUAGGUUCGACAUCUUAGCCAUUGGGUUGCACAUCAAAAUUAUUGGGACCUUCACCAAUUUCAAUAUCAUUAACUUCAGUCAGCAAGUUUCCAAGAGGAUUCUCAUACUCCCUGCCACCAUGCAUCUUCCCCACAAAGUGUGAAUCAUCAUGUACAUGUAAAGGAUUUUGUGCAAUGUUCUGGGUGUCACUAUCCUGGACCACAAUUAUCCUUUCUUGAAUCAUUCUUUCUAUCUCCCUUUUCAAAUCCCGACAACUUUCGACAUUGUGCCCCCGGGCAUUGGAAUGGUAUUCACACCUUUUAGAAAGAUCAAAGCUUCUUGCACGCGGGUCCAUAUGAUUCGGAGGAAUAGGUGCAAUCAGGUCAUGAUGCUUUAAUUUCUCAAACAAACUUGCAUAGGACUCUCCUAUCGGUGUAAAAUUAUCUUUCAACCUUUGUUUACCUCUAUACCCCUGGUUUGGAUGUGGGUUAUAGGGCACCUGAAAAUUUUGUAGAGGCUGCUGGAGAUCUUGCGGUGCUGGUGCUCGCCUUCUGGGGUGUCUUGGUGGAUGGACAAGAUACUGGAGUGGAGCAACAGAGUAUUGUGGGUUCUCAAGGGAAUUGUCAAAAAACAAAUGAGGCUGGUCAUGCCUUCGAGAUGUUCUUCUAUGACAUCUUCUCGACCUUGAUGUCAUCAUGAUUUCUUCAACCUUCUAACUUGUGCCACUAAAAUUACCAGAUUCAAUUUGGACAGCCUGAGUUGCAGCUUUGAGAGUUGCUUGACUUAUAAUUUUGCCUGUCUUAAGGCCAUUCUCUACCAUUUCUCCCAUUUUAAUGGCUUCUGAGAAUAAUUUGCCAACUGCAGACAUCAUGUUUUGAAAGUAAUCGGGCUCUUGAGCCUGAAGGAAGACAGUGAUUAGCUCGUGGUCAUCCAUGGGUGGCUUAACUCUAGCUGAUUGUUCUCUCUAUUUAAUGGCAUAUUCCCUGAAACUUUCAGUUGGUUUCUUCUUCAGAUUUGAAAGGGAAUUACGGUCCGGGGCGAUGUCAAUGUUAUAUUGGAAUUGUUUGACAAAGGCCUGCGCCAUGUCAUCCCAGACAUACCAGCAAGAUGUGUCUUGACCCAUAAAAACCAUUCAGAGGCUAUACUCGUAAGGCUUUCCCCAAAAUAAACUAUCAGUAAUUCUUCAUUUCCUCCCACACCUCGUAGUCAAUUGCAAUACCUUUUCAGGUGGGCUAUGGGUUCUCCAUGUCCAUCAUACUUCUUGAAUUUGGGGAUCUUGAAACCAUGUGACAAGUGGACAUUGGGGAAUAUACAUAGAUCCUUGAAGGCAAUACUCUUCUGACCUGUCAACCCUUGCAUGUUUUUCAAUCGUUGUUCUAAGCUUUUCACUCUUUGGGUCAUUUCUUCCCGUACCAUCUUUCGGGCAGACUUCUCAAUGUUUGCAGGAAGAUCAAACAAGUACGAGUGGUACUCAGGAGAGUGAUACUGCUCUUGCUGUGUAGCAAAUUAUGACUCAUGAGUUUUUCUCUGCACCACCGUCGGCUACGGGAUGAUAAAGACAGGCAUAACUGUAGUGGUUCUCUGAUUGGUUGUAAAUGGCACACUUUGGGAGUACGCAACAAAAGUUCCAGCUAUAGUUACGCGAUUGGGAUAAAGACUGAACCUAAAUUGAUAGAAUUGAUCGGACAAUAAAACUGGAGUGGUAGUAGCCAAUAUGGGUGUAAACUCUGGGAAAAUAUAAGAAAGGGGUGGUCCUUGACCAUUGGCCCAUGCUUGACAUAUUUCAGACAUUUGUUGUUUCAGCCUUUGGACCUCCUCUGUCAAUUCAAAUUCCGACUCCAUAAUCUCCCUCGAGGGGUCGACAACCCCUGUAUCCAAGUCUUUGCCAGCCAUGAAUUCCUUGCCUUUUGACCUUGUGUUGUAUGGACAAAUCACCAAAGUGUCACAAACUAACCACCAUCUGCUAUAAUGAAAGUAACAAAGAGGAGCAAAACAAAGUCAACAGGUUAGCGUUAGAGCAUUUAUCAGAUAAAAAUAUCACAUUUUUUGCAAUGCCCCCUAGUCACAGUUAACGAUUCUAGAAUAUCUUCGAGGGUGCGAAGGUCAUAUGGCAUCAUCCCAAUUUCACUCUUCUUUCCCCAUUUCCUCCUUCAUCUUCCUUUCCAACACCGCUUGGUUUUUCAUUUCUUUCCCCCCUCUUUUCUUUUUGAUUAUCGCUCUUUUCUUUCCUCUCAUUUCUUGCGUCCCGCAACUUUAUUUUUUUUUUUGUUUUUGUUUUUUUAAAUGAUGAUUCGAUCGAACCCUAUGUAUGUUGCCUACGUAUCAUGUCCCUCAUGAAUCUGAUCAAGCGUAGUUCUGAAAAAAUGAUGGAUAAAAUAAACUAAAAAACAAAAAUCUUUUUGGAUUUUUCAUUUAAUUUUUUUUUUGGUUUUUCAAAUACAAAAUGGGAAGUAAUAUCACAAAAGAAUCGAUAUUACUGUACAAGACCAGAAAGUAAAAGACAACAUGAAUGACAGACUCAAAACAUAAAAGUAUCUAUAAGCAGCUCCUAAAUGCAGUGGUCCUGGGUAUUUGUCAUGCUUGAGAUCUGGUACAUUGAUCCACACCUGAAUGAGAAAAAUAAGACCAAAUAGAUCGGUGACUCAAGGCACUAUGCGACGCCACAACACCUCCUACUGGACACAUGCAAGACAUAAUCGGGCUACUUUUGCAAAAUUAACCUAUGUGGCAAAGGAUGACUAGAAGUGUAUAUUCAACAAGAUUGACCUCAAAGAUAUGGAAAUACCUCGCUAAAGCUUAUAUGGAUUCAACUCCUAAUAAUCAUGGCCCAAAAUAAUUUGCAGAAAUGAUCCAUUUUGCAAAACGGCCGAUAUGGCCAGAAAUGGCUAAAGAUGCAAACUCAAUAAGGACGGACGUUAAAGUAAUAUGACACCUAGUUGUGGACUUAAGAUCCUAAGACAUGAGUUAUUGAACCACUUUUGCGAAAAUGACCCCAUUUUACAAGAAUGACCGAUGUGACCAAAAGUGGCUAGAUAUGCAAGAUUUGGCUAAGACCCCGCAAAGCCAAGAAUCUAAAACUUACUAAGAAGACCGGACCCUAUGUGGGCUGCCGACGUAUUCCGCCCCGAAAGACGAGAAUCAGGUAUGCGUAGUUCGGGAAGAUUGGAUAUGGGAGAAAGCUUAAAAAUGACACUAAUUUGGAAAAAAUAUAUUUUUUGUCUUUUUCUUUUAAAAAAAAUGAUGAAAAAUAUAAAAUCUUUUUUGAUUUUCUUUUUCUCAUUUUUUUUGAAUUUUUGAAAAAUGAUGGAAAAUGUAAAAAAAAAUUGGAUUUUCUUUUUCAAUUUUUUUUUUGUUUUUUUUCUCGAAAAAGUUGUGAAAGAAAACUAUAACUAGGCCCUACUUGCUUCAUUUUUCACCCUUCUUUCCCAAACAUUGAUCCGCCAAAUGACUUUUUUACCCUCAAAGAUGCAACAUGUAUCACAUAGGGAUGAUUAAAUGUCUUUUUGGGCCACGGGCCCAUUUUGACAAAAUUUGGAUAAGCUUCCUACAAAGGGAUACGGUACCUGGGACCGAGCCCUACUAGGUCUAAAUGACAUGAUGCAAAUAAAAAUGAUCUAAAGGCUAACCUAAGUUUGUGGUUCACUAACAAGGCAAUUCGGGGGAGCGUAUGGUCGAUGGUGGCUGCUCAAGCUUUCCAUCCACUCCAUAAGUCCGACGGCCCCCCUCCUAAAUUAAGGGUUACUCAACAAAGAAUUCGUGCACGCGACGCGUACUCCGAGACUUGUUGCAAAAAGAAGACCCAUGGUUAUGCAAAUAAUGACAGUUUAUAAAGCAGUAACACAUUAAGAAAAGCGAUAAACAAAUAACCAACAAAACAAGGAAAUAAGACAAACAAAGCAAAUAAAGAAAACAAACACCUCAACCAAAUAUCCUAAAAGCCAACAAGAUCAAGUGUCAGCUCGAACCUGCAAGUCCCCAGCGGAGUCGCCAGAGAUGUCACACCAUUUUUUUUUACAAAACUCGCUAACCUCUCUAAAAUAAAUAAAAAUAUUUAGUAAAGCUCGAAAAAGGGGUUUUAAUUAAAAAGUGACAAAAUUUGUGUUCAAAAGGAAAUAACUCAGAGUCACCACCUGACAUUGGUUUCGGUGUGCCAGGUCACCAUUUUUUUUAAAAAUAAUUUUUCCUUUAAAACACUUUGGACUCCAAAACUAAGUCCGCACCAGAGAUUUGGGUAAGGGGUUCAUUUGACUCAGGGAGAAGGUGUUAAGCACUCCCCAAGUCCCGUGAAAGUCACGGUUGCGUACUCGGUCUAGUUGGCUUUUAAAAUAUUCAAGUUGAGGUAAAAUCACGGGAAAGCAAAAUAAACACACACGAGGCUCGAGGUCGUCCCCACCUAAUAAAAAGAAAAUAAAAAUGAAAAUGAAAAUGAAAAUAAAAAUAAAAAUAAAAAUACUACGAAUUCUAUUAUCGAUCUCCAAGUACAAAUACUUCGGGGCAUACCCCGGAAUAAAAUAUAUACAAAUCCUUCGGGGCAUUCCCCGGAUAAAUUUAACUAAAGGAACGACCUCUCGCCUCAAAACUAACAAAAAUCCUAAAGUUUGCCUACCCAGGUGCUACCGGACCUAAACAUGCUCUUAGCGAUUAAAUUCAUAAAUGGAUAAAGUAAAAGAAGCAAGAUUAUUUAAGCUCAAUUUCUUUCACAUUUUAAAAGCCAACCCCCUAUAACCCAUUUGCUCUAACAAUUCAUAUUACUAGAAUUUAUCCUACUUCAAUUCUUGAUUACUUUUCUGCCUAAAUAUUCUCUUAUCCAACAGAUACAAUUAGGAAUAAAGCCAACAGACAAACCAUAACUAAAUAUUUAUCAAAUGAAUUUCAAGUAAUAAGUAAACUAGGCACAAAUAAACAUAGUAGAGAAAUUAAUUAAAGUAAGUACUGAAAUAAUGUCAAAUUAGGAGGAGAAAGAGAAAUGGACCUCACUUAAGGUAGGAGCUUCUCCAAUUUUAAUUAAAAUUCCCAGCAAGAUGUACAACAAAUAAUCUGUCUCAAUUGAAUUGUGAUCGAACCACAACCGAAACUCGGAUCCACAACCUCGAACGACGAACUCACUAGGAACUCAACUGCAAGCUUUUGCCGAAACUCGGAUCUCUCAACCAAACCACAUUUCACUGCUUAGUGUCGAAUUAAUUUGAGGUCUAAGAGUUCUGAUUACUGAGGCAAAGCGUCGAGCAUGCGAACUGCAAACUUAUGAAAACCCUCAAAGCUGAGCACGGUGGAGGGUGGUGGCGGAGUUGGCGGCUGUCGUCGGUCAACAAGGAAAUGAAAAGAGAAUUGAAGUUUGAAAAGGAAGAUGACGUGUUUCAAUGUUUUUAAAAUAUCUAGUGGUCUGCUAGAAAUAAAAAGAAGAAAAAGUGGAGUCAGUUGUCAGCGAAUUCCUUAAUUUUGUCACUGUUUCAUCCCCCUCGUUUUCUCUAAGUUUUUUUUUCCAUUUCUUUGUGUCCGUCCCUUUUCUGUGUGCAUGUGUCCGGGUGUUCUUGUGUGAAGAUGGCUGCCUUCUUUUGUAAGGGAGAAAAAGAGGAUGUGAAGGUGCUCCCUCUCAAGAAUGAGGUUGAGAGCAUUUUAUACUAGGGUUUUCAAAAUGUAGUCUCUUUAUUAUUCAAGACAAAAAGAAAAUAUAUAAAAUAUAUAGCAAAUAUAGAAAGCAAAAUAAAGUAUGCAUUUUGAAUCUGUUCUUGGAAACAGAACGGAGAAGAACGUUUAAGUGUGCAAGGUGUGGGUGGGGUCCACAUUUUUAAUUUUAUUCCCUUUUCAUUUUGCUUCAUCCGUUCCUUUCCUUCUAAUUUUGUUUCGUUGGUUUCUUCUUUUUGUUUUUCUUUUGUCUUUUAGAUUUUUUUUUCUGAUUUUCCUUUAGCUAAAUCAAACGUGAGCACAUAAUAAUACUACUCCUAAAUGAAAAAAGGACUAUGAAGGAAAAUAAAAUAACUAUAUUCUUAAGGUAGUAUAAAAUCUUUCAAUCUACUGUUAGAAAUUUAAUUUAAGACCUACACUACAUCAAAUAGACACAAAUAAAUAUAUAUAUGUAUUGAACUUUUCUUUUUCAUAUUUUUGCAAACCAAAAAUAUGACUCUCUUUUUUUUAUUUUAUGAAAAGUAAGAAAAACUAAAAGUUACUAGUAAAAAUAAUAAUUAGCUAGCAUAAAGGAAAAUAUUUUUGUAAUUUUUAUUUUAAAGAUAAACUAAAGCAAAAAAGUAAAAUAUAAUCAAAAUAGCAAUUAUGGACUUAAAAUAAAUAUCUAAAUACUAAAAUGAGUAAAAUUUCGGGAAGGGUAAAAAAUUACAUGUCUACACAUGGGUAUCACCACCAAACAAUCACAUGAUAUCAAAUUCUCCGGGUUUACCCUCAAAGCCAGAGUAAAAACUGUUACUUACCUCAACAGCGUAAAAUCCUACUCUUGGAUGCCCUCGUCUCUGGAGUCCGUCUCCAAAAGCUUCGAAUCUAACCAUAAUCAGAUUAAUACCAUCAUUAUGUGCUAAAGAAUCGAAUUCCACAAUAAAAACUACAAAAUAUGCCAAAAAUCCGAAAUCGACCAAAAUCUAGCCCCCGGGCACACGUCUCAGAAUCAGUCAAAAAUGACAGAAUAAUAAACCCCAUUCUCUCCCGAGUCUAACCAUAUAAAAUUUAUCAAAAUCGAACUCCGUUUGGUCCCUCAAAUUCUCAUUUAAAACUCUACAAAACUCAAACCCUAACUCCCUCAAUUUCACGUUAAAAUCAUCAAUCAAAUCCCAAAAACGGUGAUGGAUUCAUGAAAUAUAACCAAAAUCGAGUAGAGAACACUAACCCUAAUCCAUAUGGUGAAAAUCGCUUCCAAAAUCGCCCAAAUCCGAGCUCCCGACUCAAAAUAUGAUCGAAUGAACAAACCCUUAUUUUAUAUAUUUUUCUGCCAGCUAUUCUGCCUCCUUUCUCGUGGCAAACGAUUCUAAAACUCGCUUUUUAUGCCUCUAAUGGAUUCCUUGUGAGAUUCUAGUCAAGUUAGGCUUUUGAAUCACUCAAUUUGACCUUAUAAUGAAUGAGAUAUAUUGGUUUCAAUAUUUGCAAAUAGUGCUGAUUUUUAAAUACGCCGUCAGUGGCAAUUUCGUAAUUAAUCUGAAAAAUAUGGCAACCUAAUUCUUAGUAAAAUGACCCUAAAAUCCUCAUACGAUCUCCAAAUUCGACGAUUCUUUUUGCUACGGGUCCGUAAUUGCGAUACGGAUCUAAUGCUUCAAUCAAAAAAAGAAAUUAGAGCUCAUUUGUUCAAUAUGAUAUCAUUUAUGCUUGAAGAAACGGCGUCGAAACAUAAGAAAAACGAGUGCAACACAACCCAAACCUAUCUGAAACUCACUCGAGGCCCUCGGGACCUCAACCAAAAAUUCAAACAAGUCAUAUAUCACUACCCAAACUUAGUCGAACCUCCGGAACACCCAAAAUAACAAAUCAACCUCGAAUUCAAGCCUAAGAACUUCUAAACUUUCAAGUUUCUCCAAUUCAAGCCUAAUUCUACGACGGAUCUCCAAAUUAUAUUUCGGACACACUCCUAAGUCUAAAAUCACCCAAUGAAGCUAAUCGAAUCAUAAAAAUCCAAAUUCGAAUUCGUUUACUCAUAAGUCAACUUUCGGUUGACUUUUCUAACUUAGCUUUCUAACUAAGAGACUAAGGGUUCAUUUCACUUCAAAACUACUCCGAACCAAACCUACCAACUCGAUACAACUCAACACAGCUGAACAAUACAUAAAUAAGCAUAGAUGGGGGAAAUGGGGCUAUAACUCUCAGAACAAACGACCGGGUCGUUACAUCCUCCCCCUCUUAAAUAAACGUUCGUCCUCGAACGAGUCUGAAAACAAAACAUACCUGGAGUCUCAAAUAGGUGAAACCUUCAGCAGUACCUUCUCGUCACAUUCAAAUUAGAUGAACUCAUCUCGCGGUCACAUCAUACUCAUCACGUAUCCAUCCAGCCACCGUUUCCACUAAUAGGGACACUACCGGACAUAUAAGUCAACAAGCACGCGCUCACACAAUCAACACCUAAGUGCUCAAGCUACAGUCAAAACCCGGCCUCAAGUCCUCUAGACUGGCCCAACAUCAACACACAGAAAUCACAUCCCGCAACUCAUCCAGGGAAUCACAAUCUGUCGAUGCAUAACUGAUACCGAGCGCUCAUGUGCGCAUACGAAUGCGUGGAAGGAAUUCAAAGAGUUACACUUCAAGCUGAAUCAAUACCACAUGAUAAGAAUUCAAGAAGGUGAAGUUUUCCUAAAGGUUCUGCAGCCUCUCAAAGAUAAGUACAGACGUCUCCGUACCGAUCCGCAAGACUCUACUAAACCCGCUCAUGACUCGUGAGACCUAUGUAACCUAGGUUCUGAUACCAUCUUGUCACGACUCAAAAUCUAACCAUGGUCGUGAUGGCGCCUAUCGUGUUACAAGGCAAGCUUAUUCCCAAAAUAUUACAACUAAUUUGAUUAUAAGAAUUUAAUAAAAUAUUUCAACAUUUAAAUUUUUCAUAAACUAAAUCAACUCUAAAUAUAAUAUAUAAAAAAAUACGGAAACGAAUCCCAAACAUCGGGGUGUCACUAAGUCAUGAGUGUCUAACACUAUAAACUAAGAUAUAUAAACUGUCUAACUGUCCAAAAGAAGAAAUGACAAGAGGAGUAACAAGAUCUUACGAACGCUGGCAGCUACCUUGCAAUCUCCACAGAUAGCCGGCCUAAAAUCAACGAUCGUCGCGCCCUAACUCACCUGGAUCUGCACAUAAAGUGCAGGGUGUAGUAUGAGUACNNNNNNNNNNNNNNNNNNNNNNNNNNNNNNNNNNNNNNNNNNNNNNNNNNNNNNNNNNNNNNNNNNNNNNNNNNNNNNNNNNNNNNNNNNNNNNNNNNNNNNNNNNNNNNNNNNNNNNNNNNNNNNNNNNNNNNNNNNNNNNNNNNNNNNNNNNNNNNNNNNNNNNNNNNNNNNNNNNNNNNNNNNNNNNNNNNNNNNNNNNNNNNNNNNNNNNNNNNNNNNNNNNNNNNNNNNNNNNNNNNNNNNNNNNNNNNNNNNNNNNNNNNNNNNNNNNNNNNNNNNNNNNNNNNNNNNNNNNNNNNNNNNNNNNNNNNNNNNNNNNNNNNNNNNNNNNNNNNNNNNNNNNNNNNNNNNNNNNNNNNNNNNNNNNNNNNNNNNNNNNNNNNNNNNNNNNNNNNNNNNNNNNNNNNNNNNNNNNNNNNNNNNNNNNNNNNNNNNNNNNNNNNNNNNNNNNNNNNNNNNNNNNNNNNNNNNNNNNNNNNNNNNNNNNNNNNNNNNNNNNNNNNNNNNNNNNNNNNNNNUCACCACCAAACAAUCACAUGAUAUCAAAUUCUUCGGGUUUAUACCCUCAAACUAGAGAAACUGUUACUUACCUCAACAGCGUAAAAUCCUACUCUAGGAUGCCCUCGUCUCUGGACUCUGUAUCCAAAAGCUCUGAAUCUAACCAUAAUCAGAUUAAUACCAUCACCAUGUGCUAAAGAAUCGAAUUCCACAAUAAAAACUACAAAAUAUGCCAAAAAUUCGAAAUCGGCCAAAAUCCAGCCCUCGGGCCCACAUCUCGGAAUCAGUCAAAAUGGCAAAAUAAUAAAACUCAUUCUCUCCCGAGUCUAACCAUAUAAAAUUUAUCAAAAUCGGACUCUGUUUGGUCCCUCAAAUCCUCACUUAAAACUCUCCAAAACUCAAAUUCUAACUCCCUCAAUUUCACAUUAAAAUCAUCAAUCUAAUCCUAAAAACGAUGAUGGAUUCAUGAAAUAUAACUAAAAUCGAGUAGAAAACACUUACCCCAAUCCACAUGGUGAAAAUCGCUUCCAAAAUCGCCCAAAUCCGAGCUCCCCAACUCAAAAUAUGAUCGAAUAAACAAACCCUUAUUUUAUAUAUUUUUCUGCCAGUUAUUCUGCCUCGUUUCUCAUGCCAAACAAUCCUGAAACCUGCAUUUUAUGCCUCCAGUGAAUUUCUUGUGAAAUUCUAGUCAAGUUAGGCUUUUGAAUCACUCAAUUUGACCUUAUAAUGAAUAAGAUAUGUUGGUUUCAAUAUUUGCAAAUAGUGCUGAUUUUUAAAUACCCCGUUAGUGGCAAUUUUGCAAUUAAUCUGAAAAAUCUGGCAACCUAAUUCUUAGUAAAAUGACCCUAAAAUCCCCAUACGAUGUCCAAAUUCUACGAUUCUUUUUGUUACGGGUCCGUAAUUGUGAUACGGAUUUAAUGCUUCAAUCAAAAAAAUCAGAGCUCAUUUGUUCAAUAUGAUAUCAUUUAUGCUUGAAGAAACAACGUCGAACCAUAAGAAAAACGAGUGCAACACAACCCAAACCUAUCUGAAACUCACUCGAGGCCCUCGAGACCUCAACCAAAAAUUCAAACAAGUCAUAUAUCACUACCCGAACUUAGUCGAACCUCCGGAACACCCAAAACACCAAAUCAACCUCGAAUUAAAGCCUAAGAACUUCUAAAUUUCCAAGUUACGCCAAUUCAAGCCUAAUUCUACCAUUGAUAUCCAUAUUAUAUUCCGGACAUACUCCUGAGUCUAAAAUCACUCAACGAAGCUAAUCGAAUCAUAAAAAUCCAAAUUCGAAUUCGUUUACUCAUAAGUCAACUUUCGGUUGACUUUUCUAACUUGACUUUCUAACUUAGAGACUAAGUGUUCAUUUCACUUCAAAACUACUCCGAUCAAACCUAAUAAUUCGAUACAACUCAACACAACUGAACAACACAUAAAUAAGCAUAGAUGGGGGAAAUGAGGCUAUAACUCUCAGAACGAAUGACCGGAUCGUUACAGUAUCAUGAUAAAUUAUGCACUUCAUUUAUUAUUUCUUAAGAGACGUAAAAAGUCAAAACGUGCCAAGUAAAAGUCAAACUGAUGGAGUAUGUAGUACUAGUACGUAGUAAUUACAGGUAAUGAGAAAUGAAUGUACAUUUUUAUUACUCUCUGAAAAAUAAUUACUACUCCAGCAGAAGUCUCAAGCUCACUGUACUACGUUAAUUUUUCACAUUUAAGAAAACUUAUUUUUUUUCUGCAAGCUGCAAAGUGGACUCUCAGUCACUGCCAGCAGAAUACUAGAGUGGUGAAAUAAUUGAAACUUUGAAUAUUGGAUAUAUAUAUUAUUACUCCCUCGAUCCUCUGACCCACCUUAGGAAGAAGUCGUGCUACAGAUUUUGACCAAACUUAAUAGAUUUAAAUAUUAUAUUUGUGCUAAAAAAAUUCAUUAAAUAUAUACAAAUAGUAAAUUUAAAAUAAGUCACUAACACAUGAAGUUAUUGUCCUAAAAUCUAGAAUUUAUAAGGCUAAAAUUAGGAGUGGCAAACGAACGAGUCGGGUCGGAUAUGGUUCGGGAUGAAAACGGGUAAUAAAAAACGGAUCAAUUAUCCGACCCGACCCAUAUUUAAUACGGAUAAAAAAUGGUUAACCGGCGGAUAAUAUGAGUUACCCAUAUUAUGCAUGACUUCUUGUAUAUGAUCACUUUUGGAAGAAUUCUUAGUCUCUCUAACUUGAGAAACCCCCAAUUUGAGCCUUUACAAAUGUAAAAAUUAGACUCAUUGGUUAUCCAUUGGUUACUCAUUGGUUAUCUAUUUUCUAAAUGGAUAAUAUGAUUCUUAUCCAUAUUUGACCCGUUUUUAAAAAGUUCAUUAUCCAACCCAUUUUUUAGUGGACAAUAUGGGUGGUUAACUGUUUUCUUUGAACCAUUUUGCCACUCCUAGCUAAAAUCAUAUCUCCGUCUCUGCCCCCCCUCCCCCUUCCUCACACGUACACUUUCUCUCUCUCCCUUUGUGUAUGUAACUUCCUUCUAUAUUUUAUGUCGUCCAAAUACAUAUACAGACCAUUAAACUUGGCCCAAUUUUUCAUUUUGGCAUUUUAACUUAGCCUUGUUCCAUUUUGGCCCUCCAAUCCCAUUUCUUUUGUUCCACUUUGACACAAAAAAAUUUCUCCGAGGUAAAAAUGCAGCGCAUGCAAAUACCCAGCUGCUACUCCCACCCCACUGCCCCCCCCCCACAAAAAUAAUUACUUUUUUUGUAAUUUUNNNNNNNNNNNNNNNNNNNNNNNNNNNNNNNNNNNNNNNNNNNNNNNNNNNNNNNNNNNNNNNNNNNNNNNNNNNNNNNNNNNNNNNNNNNNNNNNNNNNNNNNNNNNNNNNNNNNNNNNNNNNNNNNNNNNNNNNNNNNNNNNNNNNNNNNNNNNNNNNNNNNNNNNNNNNNNNNNNNNNNNNNNNNNNNNNNNNNNNNNNNNNNNNNNNNNNNNNNNNNNNNNNNNNNNNNNNNNNNNNNNNNNNNNNNNNNNNNNNNNNNNNNNNNNNNNNNNNNNNNNNNNNNNNNNNNNNNNNNNNNNNNNNNNNNNNNNNNNNNNNNNNNNNNNNNNNNNNNNNNNNNNNNNNNNNNNNNNNNNNNNNNNNNNNNNNNNNNNNNNNNNNNNNNNNNNNNNNNNNNNNNNNNNNNNNNNNNNNNNNNNNNNNNNNNNNNNNNNNNNNNNNNNNNNNNNNNNNNNNNNNNNNNNNNNNNNNNNNNNNNNNNNNNNNNNNNNNNNNNNNNNNNNNNNNNNNNNNNNNNNNNNNNNNNNNNNNNNNNNNNNNNNNNNNNNNNNNNNNNNNNNNNNNNNNNNNNNNNNNNNNNNNNNNNNNNNNNNNNNNNNNNNNNNNNNNNNNNNNNNNNNNNNNNNNNNNNNNNNNNNNNNNNNNNNNNNNNNNNNNNNNNNNNNNNNNNNNNNNNNNNNNNNNNNNNNNNNNNNNNNNNNNNNNNNNNNNNNNNNNNNNNNNNNNNNNNNNNNNNNNNNNNNNNNNNNNNNNNNNNNNNNNNNNNNNNNNNNNNNNNNNNNNNNNNNNNNNNNNNNNNNNNNNNNNNNNNNNNNNNNNNNNNNNNNNNNNNNNNNNNNNNNNNNNNNNNNNNNNNNNNNNNNNNNNNNNNNNNNNNNNNNNNNNNNNNNNNNNNNNNNNNNNNNNNNNNNNNNNNNNNNNNNNNNNNNNNNNNNNNNNNNNNNNNNNNNNNNNNNNNNNNNNNNNNCUGCUACUCCCACCCACCUGACCCCCCCCCACAAAAAUAAUUACUUUUUUUGUAAUUUUAAAUUAUUAUUUUUUUCGUUUUUUCUGCCCACAUCCCGGGGAAAAAUGUUUUUUAUAUAUAUUUUAAGUAAUAACUACGGGUUUAACUGAACCCAUAACUUUCGACGUUGAGUAAAAAUUUGUAUGUAAAAAUUUAUUAAAAUUAUAAAAAAAAUAGAUAUAAACCCAUAACAUUUAAGAAUAUAAUGAGUUCUUUUGUUCCACUUUGACACAAAAACUUUUACCCCAGGUAAAAAUGCAGCGCGAACAAAUAUCCAGUUGCUACCCCCACCCCAACCCCACUGCCCCCGCAAAAAAAUUAUUUUAUUUUGUAAUUUCAAAUUAUUAUUAUUUUCAUUUUUUCUGCCCCCCUCCCGUGAAAAAAAUAUUUUUUAUAUAUAUAUUUUCAGUAAUAACUACGGGUUCAACUGAACCUAUAACUUUCGACGCGGAGUAAAAAUUUGUAUGUAAAAAUUCAUUAAAAUCAUAAAAAAAAAUAGAUAUAAACCCAUAACUUUAAAAAUAUAAUGGGUUCAAUGUUAAAAACAUUAAAAUUGAAUCCAUAGGAUUUAAAUUUUGGAUCCGUCUCUACGUUGGGAGUAUGAAAUUUGGCUUAAAAAAUGGUUGUCACGCGCCUACAAGGGUGAGGCAAAUCACACAUGGAAUCUAGUCAGCUUUAGUAUCAAAGUGGAACAAAAUAAUUGGGGUUGGAGGGCCAAAAUGGAACAAGGCUGAGUUAAAGUACCAAAAUAAAAAAUUGGGUCAAGUUUAAUGGGUUGUCUAUGUAUUUAGCCUUUUAUGUCAUAAUUUGAUUGGGCACGAAAUUUAAUAAUAUAAUUAAAGAAAAAAUUAUGUAUCUUGCAACUUUAAAUUAAUUGUUGAUAAUAUAUCAAAAUACUCCUUAAAUCAUAUAAUUUAAAUAUCAUAUUAUCAUAGAUAAAAUGAGAAUAUUAAAAUUCUGAACUAACUAUAUUCAAAAGGAUUACAUAAUUCUUCUCUAAACAUAUUAAAAAACAAAGCAAAGCAAGACAUGGAAGCUCCUGUUUGGUCAUACAUUUUGGCUAUAUUUUUUAUUGAAAAUAAUGUAUGUUCAUCAAAUAUGAUCAGUUUUUGGAAAACAAAUUAAUUUUUCUUUUCCGAGUAAAUUUACAGUUUUUAGGUAAAAUAUUUUGGCCGUGAAUUUACAGUUUUGCGGUGAAAUUUUUUCUUCCACUUAUAAAACUUUAACAUUUUAUUAAAUAAAAUACAUGUCCAAAUAUAAUUUCAACUUUUGAAAUUAUUUUCAACACAAUUUUAAAAACUCUUUUUUCAAAUCUCAACCAAAUUUAUAUCCAAACGCUUGCUAAAUAAAUUGAAUUGAAAGGCAGACCAAAUGUUUACAAAAGUUGGUGUACAUAGACCUGGGACCUCCACAUCCAAUUGUGGUUGAAGCCAUGCAUGUGAUGACUGAUGAGUAUUAUUACCCCAAUUUCCUAAUUUUGACUGCACUUUGUAUCACCUUUUUCCUCUUUUCAAUAGCAGUUAUUGGUGUAAAAAGUAAGAGCAAGUCAGAAUAUACACUGAAAUGAAAGCAGGAGUUGAGCAAUCACUUUCACUCUCUGCAAUUUAUGAUAUAUGUGUGGUGGAUCAACCAAUUACUUGCAUUCCUUCAUCUUGUUUUGAAAAAAGAAUAUCCAACUUUUUUUCUUUUAAGUGUAAUUUUAAUUAAUUUUUACAUACACAUUUAUAUUUCCGUAGUGAAAGUACUGAGUCCAUAUGAACCCGUUAUCGAUCCUAUAUUCGCACCAAAUUGUAUAAAAGUUUAAGAAAUUAAAAAAGACUUACAACAACAACAACAAUAUACCCAGUAAAAUCUCACUAGUGAGGUCUGGGGAGGGUAGGAUGUAUGUAGACCUUACCCCUACCCUAGAAGGGUAGAGAGGCUGUUUUCGGGAGACCCUCGGCUCAACAGAAGAGACAAUAAUAUCAGAAAAGAAACGAAAGAAGAGAUCUGUAACAACAAAAAAAGCAAGAAAAGUAAUAAUAAUAUCUUAAGAUACACCAAACAAGUGAAAUGGAGUGCAAUAAUACAAUCCUAUGCAAAACAACAAAAUAGUGUGAACACAACAUAGACCGCUAAUAGACAUAGGCAAAACUCUAUCAGAAUACCCGGUACAAAGAAGGAAAAACUAUGAACUACCCCCUAGCAUACAACCCUAAUUUUCAACCUCCACACGUUCCUAUCAAGAGCCAUGUCCUCGGAAAUCUGAAGUCGCGCCAUGUCUUGCCUGAUCACCUCGCCAAAAUUCUUCUUAGGCCGCCCUCUACCUCUUCUGGUACCUGCUAAAGCCAAUGGCUCGCACCUCCUAACCGAGGAAUCUAUGGUUCUCCUCUGCACGUGCCCAAACCACCUAAGUCUCGCUUCCCGCAUCUUGUCGUCCAGGGAGCAACGCCCACCUUAUCCUAAAUACCUCAAUUCCUUAUCUUAUCAAGUUUAGUAUGUCCGCACAUCCAUCUCAACAUCUUCAUCUCGGCUACUUUCAUCUUCUAGAUAUGUGAAUUCUUAACUGGCCAACACUCAGCCCCAUAUAACAUAGUCGGCCGAACCACCGCUCUGCAGAACUUACCUUUGAGUUUCGGUGGCACCCUCUUGUCACACUGGACUCCAGAUGCUAACCAUUAUUUUAUCUACCCCACCCCAAUGCGGUGCCUGAAAUCCCCGUCAAUCUCCCCAUCUCCCUGGAUAAUAGACCCUAGGUACUUGAAACUUUCUCUCUUGGGGAUGACUUGUGAGUCGAGCCUCACUACCCCGUCCGCUUCCCCCGUCACGCCACUGAACUUACACUCUAGAUAUUCCGUCUUGGUCCUACUCAAUUUGAAACCUUUUGACUCGAGAGCCUGCCUCCACACCUCCAGUCUCUCAUUAACACCGCUACGCGACUCAUCGAUCAGAACUAUAUCAUCAGCGAACAACAUACACCGUGGCACCUCUUCUUGAAUAUGGUGUGUCAAGGCAUCCAUCGCCAGAGCAAAUAAGAAUGGGCUAAGCGCAGAUCCUUAGUGUAACUCCAUAAUCACCGAAAAAGCUCGGAGUCACCUCCCGCAGUCCUGACCCGAGUCUUAGCUCUAUCAUACAUAUCCUUUAUCGAUUUAAUAUAUGCUACCGAUACCCCUUUCACUUCCAGGCAUCUCCAAAGAACGUCCCCAGGGAUCUUGUCAUAUGCCUUUUCUAGGUCAACAAACACCAUGUGCAAAUUCCUCUUCCUAUCCCUGUGAUGUUCCCUGGAUUUUAGAAAUAGAUACCGCCCUCUUCACCUUCCCUUCUACCACCCUCUCACAAACUUUCAUGGUAUGACUUAACAACUUGAUGCCCUUAUAAUUGUUACAAUUCUGGAUAUCACCUUUGUUCUUAAAUAGCGGAAUCAUCAUACUACAUCUCCGCUCAUCUGGAAUCCUCUUCGUUCUGAAAAUAACAUUUAACAACCCAGUCAGCCAUUCUAAGCUUACUCUACCCACAAAUCUCCAAAAUUUUACUGGAAUCUCGUCGGUCCAAUCACUUUGCCCAGACUCAUCUUACCCACAGCUCCCACUACCUCCUCAACCUUGAUACGUCUACAGUACCCAAAGUCUCGGUGACUCUCGGAGUGUCCCAACUCCCCUAGCACGAUGCUACCACUCCCCUCUUCAUUCAGAAGUUUACGAAAGUACGCCUACCAUCUAUGCUUAAUCAGGGAGUGUUUCGUCAAUACUCUACCUUCCUCGUAUUUGAUGCACCUUACUUAAUCCAGGUCACGAGCCUUCUUCUCUUUUGCUUUGGCCAGCCGAAAUAGCUUUUUGUCCCCACAUUUGUCUCCCAGUUCCUCAUACAACCGAUCAAAAGCAGUAGUCUUAGCCUCUGUGGCCGCUAAUUUCGCCUCCUUCUUAGCUUCCUUAUACCUUACUCUGUUUGCUCUCCUUUGCUCCUCGUCGGUACUCUCCACUAACGUAAGGUACGCCAUUUUUUUGCUUCCACUUUACCUCAGACCACAUCAUUCCACCACCAGUCGCCUCGGUGCCCAUCAUAGUAGCCCUUUGAGACCCUUAAUACCUAUAUACAGUUUGCCAUCGCCGUCCACAUAGCGCUAGCAUCCCCACCACUCUUCCAGGCACCCAUAGCCAUCAACCGCCCCUCCAACUCAUGCGCAUUAUCCUUAGCCAAAGCACCCCAUCUGAUCUGCGGUUGACCCCGUACAAACCUCUUCUUCCUUUUUAUCACGAUACCGACAUCCAUCACCAGGAGCAUAUGUUGAGUCGCGAGGUUCUCACUCGGGAUCACCUUACAAUCCUCGCACAACCUCCUAUCACACCUCUUGAGGAUGAUAUAAUCAAUCUGGUCGUAGCCAUCAUACUCCGGAAAGUAACCAAAUGCUCCUCCCUCUUCGAAAAACUAGAGUUCGCGAUCACCAACUCAAAAGCCCUAGCGAAAUCCAAUAGAGAAGUACCACCUCUAUUCCUAUACCCAAAGCCGAAGCCACCGUGCACCUCGCCAUAACCCCCAGCCGACGACACAAUAUGACCAUUGAAAUCCCCUCCUAUAAAUAACUUCUCCGUUGACGAAAUACCCCACACCACCUCAUCCAACCCCUCUCAGAAGCGCAUUUUAACCUCCUCGUCCAAGUCCGCUUGCGGCGCGUACGUGCUAACGACAUUCAGAGUGCUCCCUCCAACUACUAACUUAAUCGCCAUCAAUCUGUCAUUCACCCGACAUUCAGAGUGAUAUAAAAAGUUCAUUUCUUUUUAUUUUUUCUCUCCUUAAUUAUAAAAGAAUGAAAUCUCUAUCAAUUGUGUCGUAACAAAUUAAUCAUAUCAUUAUGUAUAUAAUAAAAAUAUUAAAAUGUAAUUACUUUUAAACAGACUUUUUUCCUUAUUAGACAUAUCAAAAACUGUAAGUAAUAUAUUAAAUGUGACAGAGGAAAGGAAUACAUGAAGCCACUGCAUAGAAGGAAAUAUUAGUCGCAGUUAUUACUACUUGUACUUAACAGUAGCUCUGCAUGUGCUGCACUUCGAAGUUCGAUCUGUACUUUUGGCCUUCUGUAUUGUACUAUGUCAAAUUAAUACUAGUCCUACUUAACGCUUUCCAGCUCACCACUAUUAUUAUUAUUAUUAUUAUUAUUAUUAUUAUUAUUAUUAUUAUUAUUAUUAUUAUUAUUUAUCGACUCGAUCGAAUUUCAUUGUCAAAAAAUUAUUUCACUACAUUACUCAUUCCGUCCCCCCCCCCCCCCCAAAAAAAAAGAUAUAAUACUUUUUAAAUUUUGACUGUUAAAUUUCUUAAUUUUGAUUGUGAAUUCAAACAUAAAAUUUCUAAAAUAAAAUUAACAAAUAUAAAACUAAUUAAAAAAGUACUAUAAGUCAUAAUGAUUUAAUAAUUUAUACUAAUAUUUAAAAAGCAUAUAAAAGUUAAAACUCACGGUUAAAUGUGAAGUUACUAAUUUUUUUUUGGUGUGUGUGUGUAUGAGUUUACCUUACAUUACCUUAAAAUAUUCUCCCUUUUCCUUUUUAAAAAAGUUACUAGAAAUCUGCCAAAAACAAUGCCUUUAUUAAUUUCCAAUUUUCAGAAAAUGGCCGUUGGAUAGUUUUGGAGUUAGCGUACCCUAUUUUAGUGCUCCAUCGUUGUCCAGUUUGUCUUAUUGCUGAUGAUGAAGACAGUAAAAUUGAGAUCCACUUUUGUUGAAAAAACUGAAAAGCCGAGCACUUUUUUUUUGUAUUAAAUUCUGUGCUAUAAAUGUAUAGUUCAAUAUUUGAGUUAUUUUCUUUUAAUUUUGUUAACUCUUUUUUUACAGGUUAUAUGAUGAAGAUCUAGUAAAUUGAAAUCAGAAAUCAUGAUAGAAAUCACCGUUUUUUGCUCCCUUUAUUGAUAAAAAGGGGCACUUUUAUCGUCGUUUCAGUAACUCACAGGGCUUCCCUUAGCUCAGUCUUUUUGGUUCUUGAGAAUGGUCGCCACUUCUCUUAGAACGGAAAUGAUUAUCCCUGCCCGAUGGGUCUAUAUACAUCCUUGAACGUCGUCAGACACGAUUAACUUUCCCGUCAUUCUUGUAACUGUCACCUAUAAUAUAAUCCACGCAGGUGUGUCUGCCACCCUGAGUGGACGAGAAAAAAUCGUAAUAUAGUUGUCACUCAUAUUUCACUUUCAAAUAAUUUAACCAAACAAAGGAAAAAGAUAUUCCGUAUAAAUUCAAUCUUAUAAGGAGUGGUCAGAAUUGUCGUAAUCAAAAUGAUUCUGUAAAAUGUACGUUACAAAUGAUGGCAUGACUUGACUCCGAGGAGAACAAGAAACAUACUUUGAAAGUGACGUGACUUUUUUGUUCAUUAGUAAAAUUAGUGUACGUAUAUUAUUUUGAAAUUUACGAUAUUAAACAUAAUAUAAUAAAAUAAGAAACUUAAAUUACACUAAUAGAAUAAAUUUUAGAAUUAAAUUGUUUUGACAAACACACGUGACAAUAAGAUUUACUCCCUUCGUUUCAAUUUAAGAAAUAAAUAAUAUAAUUUUUAAAAUUUAUGGUCUAAAUUUUUAUGACUAGAAAUUAUAUUACUAAGGAUAAAAACAACAAAAAUCCUAAUAUAAUCCCACAGAAGUGGGGUCUGAAAAUAAUAGUGUGUACAUAUUUAAUCUCAACUUUGUCAAGGUAAAGAUACUGUUUACGAGAGACCCUCGACUAAGGGUAAAAAGGAAAUUCAAAUUGAAUUAUUAGCAAAGUGAUGAUUAAUUUUUCAUUUGACGUAUUUGUACAAUCACCGAAAACGAAGUACUAUAAACUGUAUAAUUCUGAACAGUACUAAUGCAAGGUGGAACUCAGGAUAAUAAUAUAAUUAUAGCCAAUAACGAAAUGGGAGUAACGAAUUGAUCCACAGUUUAUCUUUUUUGUCAAAAUCAAAUGAGAGUAUUGGAAUGAGAUGAGGGCUUUGAUUGCUCAAAUCUUUUUACAUCACUGUCCUAUCAAAGAAAAAUCCUUUUAAAUUCUGACUUUGAGUUAACCACAUCUAUGUAUUACUCCCUGUGUCUCAAUUUACGCCACGAAAACUUUUUAAUUUUAAUAGUAAAUUAAAAAUUAAAUCUUUAAAUUUUUUGAAAUAAAAUUUAUGUAGUUAAAAAUAUGUAAAUAGUACUAUAAUUUACAACAUUUUGUUUUGGUAACUGUAAUUUAUAUAAUUUACAACAUUUACGUUUGAAUAAUUGCAAAAAUAAUUAUUUCAAUCUCGAAAUUCAAACGGGAGAAAUUCAAAAAUAGCCAGAUUUACAAGUGGUCAUUCAAAAAUAGCCACAAUUUCAAAAGUAAUCGAAAUAGCCACAACAUAAUAUACUAGAGUUCCAUCAUAAGUAUACUGGAACUCCAGUAUAUUAUAAUGGAGUUCCAGCAUAAGUAUACUGGAAAUCCAGCAUAAUAUACUGGAGUUCCAGUAUAAUAUACCGAUCCAGUAUAAUAUGCUGGAAAUUCAUACACAGGUGCUCCAAUCUCCAGUAUAUUAUAUUAUGCUGGAACUUUCCACGUGUUGGAGUUCCAGCAUAAUAUGCUGGAAGUUCAUGCACAGGUGCACCGAUCUCCAGUAUAUUAUGCUGGACCGAUCCCUAUUGCAGCAAAAUAGUGGCUAUUUUUAAUGACUUUGCAAACGCUAGCUAUUUUUGAAUGACCAGUCUGAAAACUGACUAGCCCGUGCUAUUUUAACAAUUCAAACGCCACAUAAAUGAGACGGAAGGAGUAGUAAAGGACCAAAUCGAUUAUUUAUUUAUAUUUUCUACAACUGCUUUAAUAAAAUUACUUUUAGUACAAUUUUUUUUAAAAUCAUACCUUUUUAAUUAAAUUAUACAAUUUUUUAAUUCCUAAAAUCUCUCCGUGAUGUUCUCUCUCACUUAAAAUAUCUCUUUGUGUUUCUCACGUAUCUAUCACUAUCAAUUUCCCCAAAAUUUCUCAAAUAGAAGAUACUCCAUGAUUUCAUAGCGUAUAUCCCCUUUCUGCGUGAUUUCUCCAUUCUGUAUCAAUAUAAUAUAUCUGUGUAGGGGCCGAUUUUCAUAGAAAAUAUAUUGCUCCGAAAUUCAUGGACGGUGGUAGUAGAGACAUUGUUUGUAUUGAAGAAAUUUCAGAAUCAUCUUUUGAAAGAACCAAGUUGUUCUCAACCCGCCAUCACCCUCAUUCUAAUUUGCAACAGUAAAUCUUUAGUGUUUGAUGAUGAUGAUGAUGAUGAUGAUGAUUUCUGUUUGGAUUCGAUACAGAAAAUGAGUCAAGUUCUAGUUGUUAAUCGAGACGGAGUAGAUGCUUCCAAAGGGUCCUCAAAGGUAUUUCGUAGUAAUGCCCAUAAUAUACAAUAUACUCCCAGCAUAUAUAUGCUAAAACUGUCACAUAUCCACCACAUAUCGCAUACCAUCUUCCCAUACUGUAUAUAAUGAAUAGCUUGACGGCUUCACCUGUAAUAUAUAUAUAUAUAUAUACCAACUACGACUAUUACCUAUUUUUGGGAAUAUGGAGCGUUUGUGAUGAGGUAGUGUGGUAGUGGUAACCUAAUAGGUUUAUAUCUAUAUUAUGUUAAAAGGAGAGUAGUGAAGCAUGUGGUUAAGCCAAGUGGCAAGCUAAAAAGAAGCCACUUGGCAAUUUUAAGACAACAUUAAAAAUUUGAAUUAUAAAUAGAAACAUAAUUAAUGGAAGUAGUUUAAUGAAUCUUAUACUUAAUCUAAAUAGAUCUUAGACAAAUUUAAUCUAUAUAUCUACAUUUAAAUUUAUAUUUAUAAGUAUAUUUAUAUAUAUAUUGAUUCACCCAUAAUUUUUUUUCUAUAUUAACUAGAGAUAUGGAGGUAAAAAUUAAUUAAAAAUUCUAAUCGGAAAAAAUAAAAAAAUAUAGAAAGACGUAAUUGAGAUUACCUAUGACUAUUUAUACAUUGGAGUAAGUUAAAAUAUAAAAUUAAAUUAAAAUUUACUUAACUUACUAAAGAUAUAUUGAGUUUAAAAAUUAAAUAAAUUCAAGUAGCAAAAUAAGAUCUUACAUAAAGUAUAUAAAUUAUUUAUAAGGUAAGAAAAAACUUAAAUAAUCAGUAAAAAAAAUAUUUUNNNNNNNNNNNNNNNNNNNNNNNNNNNNNNNNNNNNNNNNNNNNNNNNNNNNNNNNNNNNNNNNNNNNNNNNNNNNNNNNNNNNNNNNNNNNNNNNNNNNNNNNNNNNNNNNNNNNNNNNNNNNNNNNNNNNNNNNNNNNNNNNNNNNNNNNNNNNNNNNNNNNNNNNNNNNNNNNNNNNNNNNNNNNNNNNNNNNNNNNNNNNNNNNNNNNNNNNNNNNNNNNNNNNNNNNNNNNNNNNNNNNNNNNNNNNNNNNNNNNNNNNNNNNNNNNNNNNNNNNNNNNNNNNNNNNNNNNNNNNNNNNNNNNNNNNNNNNNNNNNNNNNNNNNNNNNNNNNNNNNNNNNNNNNNNNNNNNNNNNNNNNNNNNNNNNNNNNNNNNNNNNNNNNNNNNNNNNNNNNNNNNNNNNNNNNNNNNNNNNNNNNNNNNNNNNNNNNNNNNNNNNNNNNNNNNNNNNNNNNNNNNNNNNNNNNNNNNNNNNNNNNNNNNNNNNNNNNNNNNNNNNNNNNNNNNNNNNNNNNNNNNNNNNNNNNNNNNNNNNNNNNNNNNNNNNNNNNNNNNNNNNNNNNNNNNNNNNNNNNNNNNNNNNNNNNNNNNNNNNNNNNNNNNNNNNNNNNNNNNNNNNNNNNNNNNNNNNNNNNNNNNNNNNNNNNNNNNNNNNNNNNNNNNNNNNNNNNNNNNNNNNNNNNNNNNNNNNNNNNNNNNNNNNNNNNNNNNNNNNNNNNNNNNNNNNNNNNNNNNNNNNNNNNNNNNNNNNNNNNNNNNNNNNNNNNNNNNNNNNNNNNNNNNNNNNNNNNNNNNNNNNNNNNNNNNNNNNNNNNNNNNNNNNNNNNNNNNNNNNNNNNNNNNNNNNNNNNNNNNNNNNNNNNNNNNNNNNNNNNNNNNNNNNNNNNNNNNNNNNNNNNNNNNNNNNNNNNNNNNNNNNNNNNNNNNNNNNNNNNNNNNNNNNNNNNNNNNNNNNNNNNNNNNNNNNNNNNNNNNNNNNNNNNNNNNNNNNNNNNNNNNNNNNNNNNNNNNNNNNNNNNNNNNNNNNNNNNNNNNNNNNNNNNNNNNNNNNNNNNNNNNNNNNNNNNNNNNNNNNNNNNNNNNNNNNNNNNNNNNNNNNNNNNNNNNNNNNNNNNNNNNNNNNNNNNNNNNNNNNNNNNNNNNNNNNNNNNNNNNNNNNNNNNNNNNNNNNNNNNNNNNNNNNNNNNNNNNNNNNNNNNNNNNNNNNNNNNNNNNNNNNNNNNNNNNNNNNNNNNNNNNNNNNNNNNNNNNNNNNNNNNNNNNNNNNNNNNNNNNNNNNNNNNNNNNNNNNNNNNNNNNNNNNNNNNNNNNNNNNNNNNNNNNNNNNNNNNNNNNNNNNNNNNNNNNNNNNNNNNNNNNNNNNNNNNNNNNNNNNNNNNNNNNNNNNNNNNNNNNNNNNNNNNNNNNNNNNNNNNNNNNNNNNNNNNNNNNNNNNNNNNNNNNNNNNNNNNNNNNNNNNNNNNNNNNNNNNNNNNNNNNNNNNNNNNNNNNNNNNNNNNNNNNNNNNNAAAAACAUAUGAAUACAUUCAUGGAAUAUAGCGAGAUAAUGAAUACAAUGAAAUACAUGGAAUACAUCGGGAUACAUUGAAAAAAAGACAAUGAAUACAAUGAAAUACAUAGAAUACAACGAGAUACAUUGAAAUACAGUGAAAAAAAGGUAACAGGCUCUUCAAGUUGCUCAGCCCAAACUCCGUCGUCUUUGUUCAAGAACAACCCUAAUAUCGUCUCGUCAAGAGGGCCGCGAUUCUGACUUGAAACUCUCAAAAUUAGGCGCAAAAACGAACGAAAUUCCUUAUUUUCAAUAGCAGAUUGCCUUCUUUUGUUAGUAAUUGCGAAUUUGGCAGAUAAAGAAAAGCAGCAAUGGAGGUCGUGAGAGGCAAGAGUUGCAGUGGCCAUGGCCAGUUUUCAUUGCAAAGCAACGGACACCAGAAUAGGGUGGAUCAUUCUCUUUAGGGGUUGAUUUCGACAUUGAUUUUUUUUUCCAGAGCCCUAUCCCACUGACAAUGAAAAUUUCGCGAGACAAUGGAGAUGAAUCAGUGGAGAAUAGUGGUUAUAUUCACGAAGAAAGACUGGCGUUGAGAGAGAGAGAGAGAGAGAGGGUAGAGAAAAAUCUAAAAGAAUGAGAGAGAAAAAUAAUACAAAGAGUAUUUUAUGGCUUAAGGGUAAGAGGUAACCAUAAAUAGAUAUUUGGCUAUAAAAGUUAAAAGGUAGCUAUGGAAUAUAAUUUUUUAAAAAGGUAUUUCUUUAAAAUAAAUAAGGUAUCAACCUUUGCUAUAUAAGAUAAAAAUUCCUAAUAUUAUCUAUGCAAUUAGAAUUUGUUACUUUAUAUAUAAUUUGACAAUAACUAACACAGGAUGCACACGCAAUGUGAUCAUGCCCAAUUAUGCUUUAUAAAAGGACAAAACGGUCGCUGCAAAUAUAAUUCGAGUAUUUAGCCCAGAGUCGAAUCCACAGGGAAUUAACCUACCAAUUACUCUUAUUAGACUCACUAAAUUCUUUGUAAUCAACUUCCCAGAUAUUUUGAAUAACAAUUGGAGAUGUUUUUACUAACUAUAACUGGAUAACGUUAAGUAAACCAAAACCUAACUAUGAUUGAGUUGUAAACAAAUAAGAGAAGGAUCUAAGAUUGUGAUUUCCCCUAUUGAUGGAAUCCCUUCCUGUUAUGUUUCGCAUAGAAUUGCCUAAUUGUCUCUAUCGAUCAUGAACACUCUUACUAUCGUAAUCUCUCCCGAGUAAUUACGACAAUUUACUAGAUGCACUCUCCUGAGUUAUGCUAGUUGACUUUUAUUACAGCUCACUUUAGAUCGCACCCAAGGUUUCGUUAUCCCUAAUCCCACCUUUAAACCCUCGGUUAAUGAUUCCUCAUAUACUUUGGGAGUGGUGUUGUUCAACAAUUACCAAAAUAUGCACUCUCUCCCGAGUAAUACAUACUAAAUAGGCACAGAUAAGUGAGAAUCCUAUCAAUUAACUACAACAAGAACGUAGUUGAACAAAUAGAUAUUAAACCGGGCAAACUAUAUUAACAUAAUACGAAGUUCAUCCUUCAACAGGUUCCAUCAAAACCCUAGAUUAAAUAUUUAGCUACUCAUAAUCGUAUUCACACUAACAACAACAAAAUUUAUCAUAAAUGGUAAAUACAAAAGGAAGAAAGGAAGAACUCGAUGUCGAAUUAUCCUUCUUGCCUCUUGCCUCUUGCCUCUCCUUGCCUUCAACUAAGCUGUAAAAACCUUGAUAAUGUCCCUUUGGGCGAGCUGGACCUCUUAUAGGUUAAGUGGAAUUACCCAGAACUUCCAAGUUUACCCCUGAAAUUAUAUGCUCCGAACUGGACUAGCACAGCCGCGCUCGUGCCCGCGCUAAUGGCCGCACAUAUAGCAUAUUAUUCUGCCUCGAAUUUCUGGGCUAGCGCGGUCGCGCUAAGCUGGUUAGCAUUUUAUCACUUGUUUUCUCUCUUCUUUCACACAUACUCAGCUCCGAGGGGUUUCCCUUGCUUUAACUUAGCUUCAAACACUGUCCUAAGUCCUCAUAAACGCAACUCACUCCUGCAAAAUAUGAUAUUCGCAAUUAGAGUCAAUUUAUUAUCAUUUAACCAUCAUAGAAUAGUGAAGCAUAGUCAAGUUGGGACAUAAACAGUCGCCCAACUACAUGAAUCUAGCCUAUUAUCACAAUGCAAAGUGUCCAUGCAGUAGUAUUUCUAAUACGAAUACUAAUAAGAAUUUUCAGAAGGUCUACAAGGUAAGAGCUAUGAUAUUUAACCAAUUAUCUUAAAAUUUUGAGUUGAAUAUAUUCAAAAAUUCUCAUAAUAUAUUAUCAGUCAGCUCUUUAUACGACCAUUUUAUCUAAAUAAUGAGCACCUACAUGUCCAAAUUAGAGUUAAGUGCAUCAAUAGCCACUUUUAAGCUCGUUUUUUAAAAUAUAUUUACUAUUUAUAAUGUAUUUAAAGAUUAGCCAAUUCACUCAAACUCCAAGACUAAGUAUCCUUAAUUUGAUUUAGGACUUAGUGUCCUGAAUUUUUGAGUUGUUAAUUUGAAAUUCAGGUCUAAAUGUCUUGAAUUUCUGAACUAUUAAUUUAAAAUUCAGGGUAUAAGAUUCGAACUUCUGGACACAAUUUUCGAACUAUGACACAAUAUCCUAAAGUUUGAAUUUUAGGAUGCCAUGUCAUGAAGUUUGAGCAAAAUUGACUACUCUUUAAAUACAUUAUAAACUGUGAAUAUAUUUCAAACAACGCGCUUAAAAAUUGCAACAUGGAGUCAUUUCCACUCCAGAUUACCAAAGAAAAUGAUCCUUUCUAACAUGAAGAAAUCCCCUUUACGUCCUCGGCUUGUCUAUGCCCAAGGCCCAGCAAAAUUGAAAAGCAUUCGGUUACUAUUCUCAAAAUACUAAUCGAGCAAUAUCUGGAGUAUAUUCAAAAUUUUCAGUUUGGUCUAGGGCCAUGAAAAUACUACUUAUAAGUAAAAAUAGCACGGGCUAACCAGUUUUCGAACUGGCCAUUAAAAAAUAGCCAGCAUUUGCAAAGCCAUUAAGAAAUAGCCACUAUUUUGCUGCAAUACGGAAAGUUCCAGCAUAAUAUACUAGAGAUCGGUACACUUUGUGUAUGAACUUCCAGCAUAUUCAGCAUAAUAUUAUGCUGGAACUCCAACACGCGGAAAGUUUCAGUAUAAUAUACUGGAGAUUGGAGCACCGAUGCUCCAAUCUUCAGUAUAUUAUGCUGGAUUGGAACUCCAGUAUAUUAUACUGGAGUUCCAGUAUACUUAUGCUGGCAUUUCAGUAUAUUAUACUGGAGUAUUUUUCCGAAUUUUGAACAGUGUUUUCGUUCAGAUUUAUCUUUACAUGAAAAGUGGCUAAAUUUCUAUUACUUUUGAAACCGUGACUAUUUUUGAAUGACCACUCGUAAAUUUAGCUAUUUUUUAAUUUCUCCCUGCUAAUAAUGAAGGAAAUUGUACUUCUAAUGCCCAAUUUAUAGGAGUUUUUUGUGUGUGUGUUUUCUUGUUUUCCCCUUUUUAAUAUGCAUUUACAGAGUUUGCAUGUUUUUGUCAAUGUUUUCUUCUGUAAUAUUCUUCUAAAGCCCAACAUAAGAAUCAACAGUUCCUUCAACAUUAUCAUCAGAAUCAGAAUACACUCUUCUGGAGUAGCACUAUACAAUUCAUUUGUUUCCUCCUUCCAUUUUAAAGAAAACAGAAGUAAAAAAGAAUUUAAAACAGAAUAUGCCAACAGAACAAACCUCAAAGCAUUUCUUUCCAUAUCCAAUGAUCCAUCCUCUUCACAGUCGUCCAAUUAUGGUUUCCUCCAUAUUCCAAGAAUAAAUCUGUAUAAUAUUUGUCCUCCAACAUGUGCUGUACAAGUGUAACGCGAACCUCCUGCCCUUAAUACUGCACCUUGACUAGCAAAAAUGGAGAAACAAGAUAUCGAUGAUCUUCAGCUGGCGUUAUAUACAAAUUUUCUACCCGUAGACAUCAUGUUUGUAUCAAUCAAUUGAAGCCAACAGUCACAACGAGCGAAUUUCUAAAAGUUCGUCACAAGAUAGAACUUGUUUGUGCCACAAUUUUUCUUCUCAAUACAAGCUUGCAACUACUCUUUAAUCUGAGAACAUCUCUUCCAAUUCUGGUUGUUCUGUUUUAAAGAAAAGUUGGCUAGAGUCUGCCUUCAUUUCUUUAGGUAAUGCUCUUCCCUGAUCAACUUCAUUCUCCAUAUAAUCUGUUGUAUCAAACAAAUCUUGCUCAUCUUCACUAAUGUGACCAUCAAUCACUUCACCAAAAGAUCUCCUAGCACUAUCAUCAGCAGAAUCAGUGCCCUUAUCAAAAUUCAUUGCAAAAUUUCCAGGAAUAGUUAUAUCUUCUCUAUCCUUGACAUUGGAAUUUUCACAAAUGCAUGCUGAUGGAUUUUCAUGAAAUUCACCCCUCCCUUGCUUUACCUCCAUUGGAUCUCCCAUGAAACCUAUUUGAUAAUUUUGAACAUGCGAGGCAAACUCUUCCCACGUCAUGUUAUUUCGAUCCAUAAACAACUUAUUUAGCUUCUUAGCAUUUGGACGGAUAGUUGGCUUGUGACCAAAAUAUCUCCUGCAACAUGAAAAAGAUUUCCGUAAGCAGGGGCGAGGCCACAAGCCUGCGUACAAGUUCGGCAGAACUCAAUAGCUUUAGUCCAUCCUAUAUUUGUGAUAAAAAAUUCAUUUAACAUGCAUAAAUAAUUUAUUUAGAACUACUAAGUUGUCUAUUUUAAAAUUCAGAACUCAUAAACUCAAAAUUCUAGCUCUACCCCCUGUAUGUAUGUUUGUAACUCUAACCGAAGGUUUGACAACACUUUCAAGUAUAAAACAGCAAGUGCGUACCUUCGUCCAGCAAGCAUUCUUGCCAUAUUGCCAUUGUUAUUUGAUACAAAAACAUCACUCUCAUCGCAAACAAUGAAAUCCAAAGCAGCCAUUCUGGAAGAAAAGGAAGAGAAUGGUGCCAGCUCCUCCUUGCUGGCAAGUGUCUCUUUGGUGUAAAAAUUUGGAAAGAAAGCCUUAAGAGGAGCCAAUGUCUCGUCACCCCCAUAGAUUUCCCCUGAUGCGAUAUAAAUAUGAACAUCAUUACCAAAACCAAGUGCUCUAAGCAUAAGACCGACUUCCUCAGGAGUUAGAGGACAUUUUCCAUUCCUUCUUUCUUUAUCUGGAUUUCUUGACUGGAUUUUAUGCCAAAGAAGCAACAACAUGUUUAGUGCAAGUAGUAGGAGCAAUGUAAAUACUGACAGUUACUGUAAUAGGUAGUGACUUACAUGUAACGUCUUCCACCUCUUUCGUAUUUUACCCAGUUCUAGCCUUUCCUUUUCUCCUCCACCAUAAUAGCAUCCUGAGAAUGCUAGCAUAUCUGAUUCAAACCUUUCAUACGAAAAUAAAACUUCAGCUAGCACAUUAGUAGUGACAUGGAUAAGUCCAUAAUCUACAAUAAAAUGAUCAACUUUUAAGUCCGUAAAUGAUACGUUGAAUUCAAAUAUAGCACACAAUAUAGGUAUUCUAGUUUGACAAAACUGAAUAUGUGCAGCAGCAAUAAGAGUGAGCUUUAGCAUUACAUUCACCGUAUGUAGAGAAUAAAAAAAUCAUAAUAGAGUUCAGAUAGUCUGGAUAUCUGUUUAUAUUGAUUGUUAAGUAAGAAAAAAUAAUGACCAGAAAAAUCUUGUGGAAGUAUCAAAUAAGCGCAUUACCUUAGAUGUAGCGCAAGGAAAUGCUUGCUUUUCUUUCUUAUCCUUUCAACCAAUUUUUUUCCCAUUUCAAUUAUGGGAUCAGUAAACUUCAAUGCAUGAUAGUUGAUUCUACAUCUCAGCUUCUGUAGCUCUGUAUCCAAACGAUUGGAGAGUCUGUAAUCAAAUUUUGUUAACUGAACAGCCUGCAUCAGCAACGAGAACUCUUCAAAAUCAGAGUACCAACUCUUAUCUCCCAAUAUUUUGUAGUUAUUAUUACAAAGCAGUUGGAGAGUUGAGCAUCAAACUUUAAGUUCAAGUGUGAUCAACAGACUUCGGCUCUGUAUUUAAAGUUAAAACUUCUAGGAAAUAAUUAAGUUAAACUUGUGUUAUAAGGAUAGCCAAUUCAUUUCCAUGAUAUUGAUCUGCAUCAGUCUGGUCUGGACAAAAAUAUUGAAUUUCAAAAGAGUCCGGACAUACACAUACAAUUCAACAAGAAAAACAGGCUACUAACAGCUUAGAGAGUCUGCAUAUAAACUUGCAAAAAUUUCUUUGUCAAGGAGUUACAUCAUGUUAAGAUACAACACACAAGUCAAACACAGUGAAGUAAUUCUUAUUGAUGUAGACUGACUUACGUGUUUUUUAACUAAAAUGGGCUGGAUACGAGUCUGAUAACACUUAGCGUUGCACUUCCUUGGAACACGUGUUGUAUGCGGUUUUAUGAGUUUAUUUCCCAUUCUUGGGAGAUCCUUAAUAAUUUUGACAUCUUUUGAUAGGUAUGAAAUAAACCAGUUGACAUCAAAAAUUUCGGAGAAGUCACUGCACAAAAGGAAUAGAUUAGUCCCUAAGAUUUGAAAUCACUAAACGACACAGAGAUUGCUCAAAAAAUGCAUCCAAGUACAAAUCACAUCAAGUAAAACCUUGAGUCGUUCCAAUAAGAUUCUUGGUCCAGCUUCGGAAUUACAAGGAUGGCAUUCAAGAUAUGAGCUGCAACAACAGCAUCAAUAAUCUGCAUUCAGCAAGAAAACAGCUUCAAACUCGCAUCAUUUCAACAGUCUCUUAAAUGUAACGGAAAAAGAAAAGAAUUCCAGGCUAAACAUGAUCUGCUCAUAGGGUAAUAUCCAUUAACAUGCAUGAGCAGAUUAAAUAUCAUUUCAAGAACUGAUGCAAUAUCACUUAUAUGAUAAAUGUGCGAUGACCAAUAAAAACUAGAUUCAUCCCUAAAAGACAAGAGGAUCAUGAAAAGGGAAAUAAGUGGCUAUCCAUUUUCUUCUAUUUGCAGGUGAUUAUAUGCAUCAGAUCAAUGUUGCUAACUAGUUCAGCCAGGUCAAAGGAAGAACACUUAAAAUGAGGUAAAUUUAUCUUAGGUAAUAGCUAAAACUUGGGACAAGGUAGCCUUAGGGAAUAGACCUAAUAUUAUUCAUGAGAAACAACUUAAACAAUGCCUCUGUAGCUGGAAGUAACGAGAAGAAUUUAUACGAACAUGCACCAUGUCAUUAGUCCAAGUGAUGUUAUGGUUCAUGGUUUAAUCUGCGGUAGGAAAACCUUGGGGACUUGGGAGUUUUGCUUUGUUAUUUCUUAACAGCUGAAAAAAUUGUUACUAGGAGCAAGUAUGUAUAUUCAAAAGGCAAUGAUGCACCUGUAACUAAGAAUUUAAAUACUGGAAGAUCUCACUGAAAUGGCAAAGAUAGCAUUUCUUGCAAAAUAGUUCUCCCUUCGGUCCAUUUUAGUUGUCAUGUUUCACUUUUACACGCCCCUAAAAGUCCCUUGAGGUGAUGAGCUUUCUGAUUACCAUACCCUUAUUUACUCCACAUUUAGAUUUUCUAUGCUAUGCAAUCAAUGAUUUUUACUUUGAAGUCCAAUUAAUGCAAAGGACGAAAUGGAAAAAAAAAAUACUCCAAUUGAUUAUAUCUGGAUUGUUUAAAGUGACAAGUAUUUCGGAUCAGUUAUUUUUAGUAACUAAAACAACUAAAAUGGACCGGAUGAAGUAACAAAUCAGGAAAAGAGCCAUUUUCCUCAUUUACUAUUGUAGUGAGCCAGAAUAAGGUUAGGCUGGGGAACAGGCACACAAUAAAUAUAAAAUAAAAUAAUCUGUCUGGUGCUCUCCAUGUUAUUGACCUUCAAUUAGUGAAAAAAUGCAGUAACAGUUACUGGGACGAGAGAAGUACCCCUGUUCUCUGUUGAUUCAAGCCUCCACUUGUUGCAAUCAUCAAGUACCUAUUAGGAAGUGUAUUCACCUCAGCAGCUGCAAAAUGUUGGACAGAUCCCAUAUCAACCAAAUAGAAACAAGAAUAUUUAGGGCAGCUCUGUGCAUAAAGCAUCCCGCAUUCACGCAAGGUUUGGGUAAGAGUUGUACCCGUAGGGGUGUGAUAUAGACAACCUACCCUAAUGCAAGUAUUAGUGGCUGCUUCCACGGCUCAAACCCGUGACCUAUAAGUCACACGAAGACAACUUUAUCGCCGCUCCAAGGCUCCCUUUUAGAAACAGAAAUAUUUAAACAACAAAAAAGUACUUUGUCCUGGAAGGGCCGCAUCCCUAGUGUUGUGAUUUAGACAUUCUAUUUUAGUGCAAACAUUAAUGACUGCUUCCAAGACUCGAACCAGUGACAUAUUGGUCGCGCGUAAAUAACUUUACCAUCGCUAGAAAACUCUUUUUAAAAAAAGAAAUGUUUAAACAAAAAAAAAAUACUCCCCCCUCCCCCGGGUCCCAUUAGCAAUUAAUGAACAAAAUGUGAAAUCAAUUGGAAACAUAUAAAGGAAUGGUUACUUGGAAACUGGUCAGUGGCAACACUGCAACCAUGGUAGAAAUUCGAUUUCUUCGAAUUCCACAGGUCUCGGCUGCUUAAGCUCCCUCCACCCAUCUAUACACAUUCAAAUCCCACACGAAAAAUCAAACAAACAAACUCAUGAUAUAACCACCCAGCAAUGAAAUGUGAAAUUAAAGCUGUAGCGUUCACUCACCGGAACCCGAAACACCUGUUCUUCUAGAAGCUUCUUUCGAAACUCCGUUCCGUUAUUAAACUAGAAAAACAACACAGAACAGUUACAAAACCAUUGGGCGUAGAAGUACGAAAACAGAGAACGUCAUUUGUAACGUAAAUAACAUUUCAUGGUUCUCACCGAGCUGCGGCUGAUAAAGUGACGAUGGCGGCUAUUAAUAGGAGGAGAAAGGUAAGAGAGAAGCGUAAAUAAAAGGAGAAGAGCGCCGGAUAAAGCUGAGAGGAAAGGGAGGAGGUGGUAAAUGCGACGGCGUCGACGGAAUAGUAAAACGAUCGGAAGUCCGAUAAACACCGCCGCCGUCUCAUGGCGUUGCUUUCUGUAUUUCAUUUCGUUACAAGUAAGAACAAUCGCCGGUAAUUCAGCAACUCCGGCGCCGGCAGCUAACAAUCAGCUUGGAAUCUCCGUCGAACGAUAACAACAUUGUAAUAUUCCCGGUAACGUAUUUGCUGUUAUCUCUCACUAUACGCAUGUUAUAUAUGCCUACGUAUUUAUCUGUUUGUUUAAUUCAUUAAUUAAACUGCAGAAAUAUUAUCCCUUAAUUAAUUUGUACAAAUAUACUAAACUAACUGCCGCCUCGACUAAAUCGCACCUAAAAUCUUAGUUAGGAAAUCUACAUUUAACAACUCACAUUUCUCAUGCUACUCUCUUUUGAACUGAUCUGAUGAGGAUAACGCAUGUCUAUAUACACAAACGGUCAAAAUCUGCAUGGAGUUCAUUUUUCUUUUUUUAGUAAAAACAAAACUUUACACCUAACAACUUCUUUGGACGUUACUCAUUGUAAUGUAUCGUAUUGUUACUUAAAAUACGAUGUUUAUUUUGAUUGUUAUAUAAAUUUUAUUGUAUCGUAUCGUUAAAUUCGUCGUUAUAAAACGACCAAAAGUGUUACUUUAUGGAACGACUGAUUUGGUGUGGUCGUGUCGUUCCCUUUUUUUUCUUUUCUCAUUUUGCCCUUCGAUAUUAUUAAAUAAUUAUAUUUUAUCUUUUAUUCUACCUUUUUAUAUAAUAAUUUUACCCCGUACCUUAUUUUUUUUCUUUAUCAUAUUACAAGUUUAUUCUUCAUAUGAUACCAUGAAACGACAAAAAAAAUGUAAUCUAUCCAAACAUUGUAUAUAUCAAAACAAUACAGUACACUAUAAUAUUAUACGAUGCAUUAUGAAACGAUACAUAACAACCAUCCAAACAAGGUUGUAAAUGUAGUGUAAUUUAUUACUAUUAAUUAGAUCUAAACCACUUUUAUAUAUAUAUAUAUAUAUAUAUAUNNNNNNNNNNNNNNNNNNNNNNNNNAGGGAAAACUUGUUUGUAUUUGGGGAUAUCAAUUAAAGCUGGGUUACAGGGCGGAGCUAGUAUAUAGGUUACCGGUUCAGGUAAUCCCAAUAAUUUUGAUCGAAACCUAAUAUUUAUAUUAAGAAAUUUAUUGAAUAUGUAUAAAUUAUUAAUUUAGAACCUAGUUACUUAAAAAUAUUAGAAUCUCGAACUCAUAAACUUUAAAUUUUAGCUCUGCCUUUGCUGGAAGGUUUGAACCAGACCAGUCGCGGAGCCACGUUUAACCAAGGGUCGUCCGUUACACCUUUUCACCGAAAUAUUAUAUGUUUUGCUAGGUAUAAAUAAAUUGUUUUAUGCAUAUAUACUAUAUGUUGAAUCUCUUUGACUUUUUCGUGUAUUUAAUUUUUAUAUUUUGAUACUUUUUAGUGAAUUCUUGAGUCGAGGGUCUAUUAGAAAUAACUUACCUAUUCCUCUGGAGUAGAGUCAACGUACAUACCCUCCCCAGACUUCACUUGUAGAAUUUUAGUGGAUUGUUAUUGUUGUGUUAAUUAACGCAAGAGAGGAGCAAAACUACAGAGAUUACUGCAGGAAGGUAUAAUUAAUAUUAUUCUCUAAUUAGUCACUAUUUGCGCACAGAACAGAUUUAAUUUGUUUAUUGCCAAGUUGCAUGGGGAGUAGUAGUUCAAGAACGGAUAAGAGAUUGCGUGUGAUUGAAGUCGUAAAUCGAAAACACAUUCAUGCUUGGCACGAUUUAAAUUCCCAUAACUAUCGGUCCCAACCCAACUGCCUAUACUUUUUUCAGAACUUAAGUUGAAUUUAGAGAGGAAUUCAGGAUUUAAAUUUUAUGGGUUUAGAUCAUUUAAUUUAAUGGUUUAAAAUUUAUUAUUUAUAUAUAUUUAAUAAUUUUUUAGGCAAAAAUAUAGGAUAUGAAUGAAAACUAUGGGUGUAAUUAAACUAUAGCUUCUACACUAGAUAUGCCUCUGGUCGAAUUAUAUACAGGGAAGAUUAAUUUAUGAUUUGGGGUGGGUGUUUGACGGAUAAGCUGUCAAAUUAUUUGGUGUUAGAUUUAGAUAGCGAUAAUUAAACAUCCUAAUUGGGACUGCAGUUGUAGCAUUUGUUCUCCUUAAUUUGUACUUCCUCCGUCUCAUAUUAAUUGUCACGAUUCUCUUAUACACGUCCUUUAAGAAAACUUAAUUAGGAUGGGAUUUUGAAUAUUUUAUCCUUAUUCAUGUUUUAAAAUUUAAUCUUUCUUCAUUGGUAUUUGAACAAAGUUAUCUAUAAUUGAUGGGUUUGUAUUCUUCAAGGAUAAUUAUUAUUAAGGGUAAAAAAGGAAAAAGAUAAUCGAUUGUGUCUUGAACUUCUAAAUUGACAAAUAAGUUAGAGACAACUAUUUUUAGUAACCACGACUAAUAAUAUGAGACAGAUGGAGUGCGAGUCUUUCUGUCACGACCCGAAUUUUUCACCCUCAGGAGUCGUGAUGGCGCCUACUAGUGAAAGCUAGGCAAGUCGAUUAGUAUUAUUUAACCAUUUUCAGUUAUAUCCCUUAGCAAUUCCAAAACAACAUAACAAAAACAGCGGAAAUAAUGAUAACAACAAUAGUGCGGAAGAUGAAGUGUGAUAAUUUAAAUUAAUACAAAUUGCGGAAGUCUAAGUACAACUCUACCUAGAAUUUGGUGUCACAAUGUCACGGACCAUCUAUGAAUACUACAAAUAAAGUCUGAAUAGAAAUAUACGAAUCUGUCUCUGAAUAAGUAAAAAUAGAAAGGGAAUGACAGAAGGAGACGCCAAGGCCUGCGGACGCCUACAGGACUACCUCGGGUCGCCUGAAUGGACUGAAGACAGCACCCUCACUACGGUCCAAAAGCUGUAGCAUCGGGAUCUGCACACAGUGUAGAGUGUAGUAUCAGUACAACUGACCCGAUGUGCUGGUAAGUGCCUAGCCUAACCUCGGCGAAGUAGUGACGAGGCUAGGACCAAACUACCAAAUAAACAUGUGCAGUCAAAUCUAGAUAAAAGACCAAGAAUGAUAGUAAAAAGUCAGGGAGAACAUAUGAGGAAACAUGUGUAAGUAAGGGCAUAAAGUCAGGGGAACCUAUGGUAUCCUGUUAUUCAAUCUGGUUAUCUGAACUCUAACUUCUCGUAUUCAAUUAAGUUUGUCAUCAUCAAAAAAGGGGAAAUUGAUAGGUUUUCAAUAUCUUUAUCUUGUGUUUUGAUGAUGUAACAAACUUAAUGUUAAGAACCAGAUAGGGAGCCUGACUCACUUGGAUUACACUGCAUCUAACGGAUUCCAGCCAAAUGUGAACUUGCUACAGCUUCAUGAGGUAGGAACCCAAACAAGGACCUGAUACUCUUGUGGGUUCUUCACAGCAAUAUAAAGUCAGUUGAACACAUCUGGAAACAAAGAUUCUGCCGCACUGUACUAUUUUCAUCGCCCACUCAUUCUCUGACCAACUAAAGUGCUCAUAUCACUUCAAGCGAUGUGAUCAAGGUGUACCUACAAUGAGUCUAUACAAAGCAUAAUUCAAGUUACUCAACUCAAGACAAUCUAGGCAGUGUGCACAAGAACCAGAUCAGGAACCUGAUCCCUUGGUGCUUCUCUGACAGAAGUACAAGUCAACUAUACAGCUGGAACGCAUCUGAGUGACUGAUCACAACUGUACAAAGAGGAACACAACAGGGACCUGGUCCCUUAGGGUUCUCUAACAGAAGUACAAAGUCAACUACAGCUGGAAAGCAACUACAGAAAGUGACUACCUGCAACAGUGUAGCACAUAGAGCAACAGACAGUACAACAAUCACUUUCCAUUGAGAUUGGACAUCACUAAGGUAAUGUCGUGUGUAGUAUAAACCUCAUGCAAGGCACAAGAUUCUAGUUCAAUACUUGAAAAUACAGAAAACGAAAAUUCUCUCAAGUGCUCAAGAACCUCUCUCAAGAACAAAGCUGUUGCAACCUCAAGGACCUGAUCCAAGAUCGAAGAUAUCUUAAGUCCUUAGGUUGUUGGGUCUUUGUUAUGUGUUCUUCAUUGUAAUUCCUAGUUUACUUUCUUAGAAGCGUUGUCUUAGGAACAAACCAAAAUUCAUAAACUUCUGAGUUUAUGUUGUGACUAGGGAUAGUCAUAAGCAAAAGCCUUUGUAACCGUAGUGUGACAAAGUGGCUUGUGGUGGAAACAUCACAAGUUAGUCAAAGCCUUUGUAACUAUAGUGUGACAAAGUAGCUUGUGGUGGAAAUACCACAAGUUAGUCAAAUUCUUUAUAACUAGGAUAGUUAUAGAGUGGCUUGUGAUGAGAGCAUCAUAAGUUAGUUGAAGUCUUUGCAAUAAGGUUAUUGUAAAGUGGCUUGUAAUAGGGAGUUUGCAAGUUAGUGAAGUUAAAAGCCUACCAGUGUAGGUCGUGAUUUUUUGAUCCCCAUGUGUGGGAUUUUUUCACGUAAAAAUCCUCGGCCUUAUUUACAUACAACUUUACUAGCAUUCACAGCAGAACCCCACAAAGGACCAGGUACUCUACGGUUUGGUGGAUUCACACAAAAUUAGCACUGUACCAAACUGAUAUAAGACCAGAUCCCUAUACAGUUUGGUUCAUCAGUAUUUUUAGAAGAAACACAUAGAGAACCCGUUUCUCUAUACAGUUUGGUGGACGCACAGGGUCUAACAAAAUCAUAUACACCGGAAAAUAAAGGCAAAAAUGUACAGUUAAGGAUAAGAGGGAGAAACAUGUUGCAGGGAACAUCAAGUAAUAAUAGAAGAACAUCAGAUAAAUAUAAGGAACACCAAAAUGCAAUUAUCAACAAGAAUCAGAAAUAAAAGACAAGUGCACUGCAUCACCUUUCGUGCUUUUACUCUCGUCCUCACCAUAAAAUCAAUAAAAUCGGCACGACAUCACCCUUCAUGCUUUUACCUCAUAUAAACAUGGCACGGAAUGAUCCUUCGUGCUUUAUCACUCAUAUCAUGGUACAGAAUUGUACAUCGUGCGGCACGACAUCACCCUUCGUACUUUAACCUCGCAAAAAUUGGCACGCCAUCACCCUUCGUGCAUUAACACUCUCUUACAGAUAUCAUGCACGACAUCAUCCUUCGUGCUUUAACACUCUUCAUUACCCAAACAAUAAUCACAAAGCAAUAAGGGCAAGGGAAUCAAUAAAAUCACAAUAAAAUCCCGGCAAGGGAACAAUAGUAUAACAACCAUAUCCUGGCAAGGGAAACAAUAUCAAAGCAAUAACAUCCCGGUAAGGGAGAUAACAUCAAAAGUAAUAACAUCCUGACAAGGGAGACAAUAUCAUAAACCUCUUCUCUUUUCCACAUUUACUUCACAACUCAAUUCACAACUUGAGCCAAUGCUCCAAAAUGUUCAAUUGCCAAUAAUACUUCCACAAAUUAUUUUACAACUUGAGCCAACACUCUUCAACGUUCAAUUAUCAAUAAUACUUCCACAAGCCUUGUUCAACAAAAUGAAUCAUCAUAUAAAGCAUGGACAAUACGAAUCGGAGUCACAUUAAUCAUAGUAUAAGACUCACAGGCAUGCUUGACACCAACGUAUAAAUACUCGUCACCAUGCCUAUACGUCGUACUCAACAAUUAACACAUAGCACAUAAAACACAACUCCUAAUCCUCAAGCUAAGGUUAGACCAAACACUUAUCUCGAUGCCACGAACAUAAUUCAAGCCUCAACUACCGCUUUACCUCUUGUUUCCACCACCAAGUCGCUUGUAUCUAGCCAUAAGUUACUUAACUAUAUCAAUAAAUGCUAAGUGAAUCAAUUCUAAUGCAUGAAAAUAAGUUUUCUAAAGUUUUUCCCAAAAAGUAAAAAAUCGACCCUAGGCCCACAUGGUCAAAACCCGAGGUUCGAACCAAAACCUGAUUACCCAUUCACCCACGACCCCAAAUAUAUAAUUUAUUUUGAAAUCGGACCUCAAAACGAGGUCCAAAUCCCCAAAAUUUGAAAAACCUAAGUUCUACCCAAAACACCCAAUUUCCCCCAUGAAAACCCUUGAUUUUUAGUUGAAAUCAUGUGAAAAGAUGUUAAAGAAUAAGGAAAACGAGUUAGAAUUUACUUACAAUCGAUUUGGAAGAGUAGUUGUCUUUAAAAAAUCGCCCAAAAGUAUUUAGGUUUUGAGAAGGUUUGAACAAUGAGAGAUUUUCGACUAAGUCAUGAUUUACACAGGCGCAGAUAUCGCAAUUGCGAAGUUUGGUUCACAAAUGCGAACUCGCAAUUGCAGCCAAAGCUUCGCAAUUGCGAAGGAUGGCCUAUGUCUGCUUUCUUCGCAAAUAUGCGAACAGUGUUCGCAAUUGUGGUGCCUGUCAAGGUCGCAUUUGCGACAUAAGCUUCGCAAAUGCGAAGGUAUCCUAUCCAGCCAGUCUUCGCAAAUGCGGGGUUUCUCGCAAAUGCGAGCUCGCAAUUGCGAGUCAGGCUUCGCAAUUAUCUGCAAUAUACCAGCAGUUUUUUCCUAAAUUUAAAACACUCUUUGGCCUAUCCAAAACUCACCCGAGCCCUCAGGGCUCCAAACCAAACAUGCACGCAAGUCCAAAAACAUCAUACGGGCUUGCUUGUGCGAUCAAAUCAUCAAAAUAACAUUAAUAACUAUGAGUUUAGCAUCAAAAUCAAAGAAAAAUCUCAUGAACUCUUAAGUUCCAAUUCUAACAACCGAUGGUCCGAUUCACGUCAUUUCAAGUCCGUUUCUUACCAAAUUUCACAAGCUCGACUUAAAUACCAUAUAAGACCUGUACCGGAUACCGGAACCAAAAUACAGGCCCGAUACCAUCAAAUUCAAACAUAUUUAAAUUUCUGAAAACUCUUAUAAUUUCAGUCAAACAAUUUUCUUCAAAAAUUCAUUUCUCUGGCUUGGGACCUCGGAAUUCGAUUCCGGACAUAUGCCCAAGUCCCAUAUUUUCUUACAGACCUUCCGGAGCUGUCAAAUCACUGGUCCGGGUCCGUUUACCUAAAAUGUUGAUCGAAUUCAACUUAAAUUCAUUUUAAAAGAAAAAUUUAUCAUUUUUUCACAGAUUUCCACAUAAUGGCUUUUCGGAUACAUGCCCGGACUGCACAUGCAAAUCGAGGUGAGACAAAAGGGAGGUUUUAAGGCCUCAGAAUACAGAAUUUACUUCUAAAAUAAGUGAUGACCUUUUGGGUCAUCACAUUCUCCAUCUCUAAAAUAACCGUUCGUCCUCGAACGGACAUAAGAAAGAAGUGCCUGAGUCGGAGAAAAGAUGGGGAUAUCAGCUCCCCAUAUCGAACUCGGACUCCCAGGUCGCUGCCUCAACAGGCUGACCUCUCCACUGAACACGAACAAAAGGAAAACUCUUCGAUCUCAACUGACGAACCUGCCGGUCUAGAAUAGCUACCGGCUCUUCCUCAUAGGACAAGUCCUUGUCCAACUGGACGGUGCUGAAGUCUAACACGUGGGAUGGAUCGCCGUGAUACUUUGAUGCAUGGACGCAUGAAACACUGGAUGCACGGCUGAUAAGCUCGGCGUCAAUGCAAGUCUGUAAACCACCUCUCCCACUCGAUCAAGAAUCUCAAAGGGACCAAUGAACCUAGGGCUAAGUUUGCCCCUCUUCCCAAAUCUCAUCACGCCCUUUAUAGGCGACACCCGAAGCAACACCCGCUCGCCGACCAUGAAUGCCACAUCACAAACCUUACGGUCGGCAUAACUCUUUUGCCUAGACUGAGCUCUAUGAAGCCUAUCCUAAAUGAUCCUGACCUUAUCCAAGGCCUCAUGUACUAGAUCCAUACCCAACAACCGAGCCUCUCCCGGCUCAAACCAUCCAACUGACGACCGACACCGUCUACCAUAUAAAGCCUCAUAAGGAGCCAUCUGGAUACUCGACUCGUAGCUGUUGUUGUAGGCAAAUUCCGCUAAAGGCAAGAACUGAUCCCACGAGCCUCCAAAGUCAAUGACACAAGCUUUAAAUCUUAGCUCUGCCUUUGCUGGAACGUUUAAUUUGAACCAGACCAGUCGCAGAGCCACGUUUAACCAAAGGUCGUCAGUUACACCUCUUCACCGAAAUAUUAUAUGUUUUGCUAGGUAUAAAUAAAUUAUUUUAUGCAUAUAUACCAUAUGUUGAAUCUCUUUGAUUUUUUUCAUGUAUUUAGUUUUUUAUAUUUUGACACUUUUUAGUGAAUUCUUGAGUCGAGAGUCUAUGGGAAAUAACUUCGGAGUAGGAUUUGCGUACAUACUAUCCUUUUCAAACUUGUAAAAUUUCACUGGAUUGUUGUUGUGUUAUUGUUGACACUUUUUAGUGAAAAUCCUAGUUUCGAUACCGGACCAGACCAUUUGAAGUUGGACGGAUUACGCUAGACAGAUAAUUAACGCAAGAGAGGAGCAAAACUACAGAGAUUACUGCAGGAAGGUAUAAUUAAUAUUAUUCUCUAAUUAGUCACUAUUUGCGCACAGAACAGAUUUAAUUUGUUUAUUGCCAAGUUGCAUGGGGAGUAGUAGUUCAAGAACGGAUAAGAGAUUGCGUGUGAUUGAAGUCGUAAAUCGAAAACACAUUCAUGCUUGGCACGAUUUAAAUUCCCAUAACUAUCGGUCCCAACCCAACUGCCUAUACUUUUUUCAGAACUUAAGUUGAAUUUAGAGAGAAAUUCAGGAUUUAAAUUUUAUGGGUUUAGAUCAUCUAAUUUAAUGGUUUAAAAUUUAUUAUUUAUAUAUAUUUAAUAAUUUUUUAGGCAAAAAUAUAGGAUAUGAGUGAAAACUAUGGGUGUAGUUAAACCUAUAGCUUCUAUACUAGAUAUGCCUCUGGCCGAAUUAUAUACAGGGAAGAUUAAUUUAUGAUUUGGGGUGGGUGUUUGACGGAUAAGCUGUCAAAUUAUUUGGUGUUAGAUUUAGAUAGCGAUAAUUAAACAUCCUAAUUGGGACUGCAGUUGUAGCAUUUGUUCUCCUUAAUUUGUACUUCCUCCGUCUCAUAUUAGUUGUCACGAUUCUCUUAUACACGUCCUUUAAGAAAACUUAAUUAGGAUGGGAUUUUGACUAUUUUAUCCUUAUUCAUGUUUUAAAAUUUAAUCUUUCUUCAUUGGUAUUUGAACAAAGUUAUCUAUAAUUGAUGGAUUUGUAGUCUUCAAGUAAAAAAGAAAAAAGAUAAUCAAUUUUAUCUUGAACUUCUAAAAUAACAAAUAAUUUGAGACAAUUAUUUUUAAUAACCACGACUGAUAAUAUGAGACGUAGGGAGUACGAGUCCUUCCAUAUGUCAAGACGUGGGAUAUUCAUUAAAUUGUCUUACUGCAACGUAAGCUUGAGCUGUUUGUUGAAAUUGGAAUCAUGUCUCACUCAAACAAUACAAUAAUAUAACACGUUUAUAGUUGCCUUCUAAACAAAAAGAGAAGUUCCCUUUUUGGGGAGAAAGGGUUUGGUCAACUGUUGUGGCCGUAGACACUCUCAUUCAUUGAUAAGGAUGGUUGAAUAGUUGAUCUUUCAAUUCCAUAACCAUUAUCCUUACAUAGUUAUUCUUGUAUUUUCAUUUUCCUUUUUAAUCAAAUAACAGGAUGUGAUAGUUAGUGGAAACAAAAUUUUAAUAUGCCAGCAAAUAUUACUUACCCAGUACUAUAUUGCUAAAUGAAAUGGAUGUGUACAUCGGAGUUUGUUUUCGCACAAAUUCCUUAAACGGGGACAAAUGACUAAUUAGUAAUACUUAUCAUAGAAAUUUAACUCUAGCUAAAUUAUAAAUGGCCUAAUUGUUUAAAUAUCUUUUACAUUGUCCAUAAAUUUAAACUCCUUAAGAAUUAUGGGCAAUAUUUGCCGUCCUAAAAAGGUUGUCCUUCACAGCGGUUGUGCUUGCUUUAGUAACUAUGCUGGCAUACAGUGCCUUCUCUAACGGUCCUUUAAGAUCAAGUUUAAUGCCCAUUCUGGCCAAGAUAGCCAAGUUUGACAGAUUUACGAAUGUGGGUCAGCGUUAGUUGUUCCUCAGACAAAUUUAAGCUAGCCCCAAGACCAAAAAGAAAAAUCCAUCUGGCAAAAGAAACCAUACAAACUGUUGGUCAAGAAGCUUGUCUCCAAGUUCAAAAGUUGAAAUACCUUGAAUUAUUACCCUUCGUUACAAAAACAUGCUCUAAGAAAUAAAUGGCUAUAAGCUCGGAAAAUCCUGUAUCUUACUUUAAUAUUUCCACUUGGGAGAUUCACAUUAUUGUGUGGAAUAUGCCACCUUGAAAGGCACGCCGCACCAACGGAAGUAGAGAACAAUCAAAGUCAUCACAAGAAUGAUGAAUUAACAUGUAGCAUGAAUCAUCUCGAGAACGAAAGAGAUAGAAGUGGC